rnacentral:lncRNA from 1 species
UUUAAGGCAAGACUGGAAAGAUAAACACAGUUAUUCAGGGAAAUGGGGAGGGAAGAGAGAGGGGUGUUCUAGGCAAGAGGAAUAGCUUUCCAGGAGAGAUGGGAAAGAGGGGUAAACUGCAGGGAGUGGAGUGGUGGCCCAUGGUGAGGGAAUGGAGUGUGAGUGAGAAGUCUGAAGAUGCCUGGGCCUGGGGACCUUGGAAGACAGGAGGCUGGACUGUAUUCUAAGAUCUGUGGGAAACCACCAAAAGAUUUUAUUCAGAGAACAGUGUGACCAGAUUUACAUUUUGGAAUAUUUGCUUUGACAGCUCAGAUCAGAAGGAAAAGACUGGCAAGUGUUAGAAGAUAGAUGUGGCCUAGAAUAAAGAGGUAUAGUGGAAAUGGACGUGUGUGAAAUUUAGAUAUAUUUAGCAGACAAGUUAGUAAGUGAUUGAUUGGACGUGCGAGGAGUCGAGGUUACUCCCAGGUAUCUGGAAGAGAGGAAGAAGAAGGCCAAGCAAGAGGAGAACUAGGACAUGUUUGCUAGAAGUGUCCAUAGGGAGUCAUUAUGACUUUGGGGAAAGAAACUUCUGGAAAUAAGCUGCAAAUCAGAGAGUUGAGGAGGGAGUUGGAGAGGAAAUGAGUAAAGACAGUGAAGUUAGCCUCUUUUUAUAGAAGUUUGGCUUAAGGAUAGAAUGAUGAUAUACACGCUGGCCUGGUGGGUGGGUGAAGGGGAGGGAUAAUAAAAGAGAGGAGAGUUUUGAGCUUUGAAUCCUGCUUGGAAGUAGCUAACACAAUAGAGACACUCAUGUUAAAAUUUUGUGAGGAAAGUGGGGAAGUCCGUGCGAUAGAGGAUUGUGAGAAUGGAUGGGAUCCAGAGAUGACCUUAGCCAAGAGGACUAGUACCUCUUCCAUUGUGACAGAAGCAAGGGAUGAAACAGUUGGUGUUAAUGAUUUGUUUUGUAGCACAGUUAUUUUAACUAUGUUCUUUUAAAAAUCUUCUCCACAGACACUACCCAAAGCAGUCCUUCACCACAGUGGCAGAUACACCUGAAAAUCUUCGCCUGAAGCAGCAAAGUGAAUUGCAGAGUCAGGUAAUUUCUGAAAGCUCUAUUUUGUGUAUAUUGGUAUAAAAGAUUAUUCUAACGGCCACUCUUCUAAAAUUUUUGUCAUUGUAUUAUUCAUGCCAGUCACCAGCCAGCAGGGUGACUGACAGCAGGCCUGUUUGGGAAUUCUGGGUGAUAGUAUUGAACAUCUGUAUUGUUCCUAGUCUUGGAUCAUCUUGAUAUUGUUGGUUCUGUUAUUCACUUGGGACUAGAGCAGAUAAAUGAGUUCUGGUCAGAGUAAGUGUUUUCCAACAAUAUUGAUAUAUUUGGCCCCAAAUAUUUAAAAACAUUUUAUAAAUAGCUUUUCCACACCGCAUAUGUAGGGAAAACACAAGGUGUUAACUUGACCCAAUUGCAGUGCAUGUGGGGCUAACACCCCGUCUGUGUAUCUCACACCAGCUACUAGCUUUGUUUUCAUCCUGUCACUUUAUUCAUAUUUUUUUCAUAUGUCACAUUGACAGCAUGAACAAAGAUUAGAACACCACAAUUGGCUCCCACUCAACCAUUUUGGAUGCCAACUUGCCUUCAAUAUGGUGAAGCACAUCGGCUAAGACUAGGGUUUAGAAUGGCAGGGUUUCCUACAGGGACACUCAAUUGCUUUAAGAAACACAGGACAUUCUUUCAAAGAAGGGACCUUGCCUGACAAGGUACGGGAAGAUGGGCAACAACUUCAUUUCAGUCCAUUGAUCAAUGAUAUAGUAAAGCCACACCAAGGAAGGAGGAAGGAAAGCUGGAUGGUAGGCCCCCUUCAGCUGUUCUUUAGUUGUGGCCUUGGGGCAGCUGCCCUGAUUCUUUGUGCUUUUGUAAAGUAAAAUGGUCUCUGUUGUCUACCUGCCUUGAGGUGGCUGCAAGUAUCAAAUGGGGGCAGUCAGGCGUGAAAGCAUUUUGAAAAGUUAAAAAAAAAAUUGUGACUGGAGAGUCUGAUGAUGGUUUCUGAGAAUUCCUGGUGUGAAGAAGAAAAAGCAGAACAUAUGAAUAGAAAGGUGCCUAGUUAAUAGUCUUUGAAAAUGUCAGUCUCAAGUUUUUCGUGAGAGUUAUUAGCUUGUAAUCACCAAGAAUAAAAUUAUUUCCUUGGUGUCUUAAUCACAGGGGAGAUUGUGAUUCCCUUCCUUCUUUUUCUAUGGAACUUGGAGCCAUUUCUAAGUCUAUUCAAUUACAAAAAAUAGAACUCAAAGAAGGAGACUUGUUUGGGAGCCAAGGUUUGUUUUUCGUAAAAUACUAAUUGUUAUAUUCUAAGCCAUUACUUCUAAAAAUUAAGUGCUGGUCAAAGAGAUAUACUGUUAUGGAGGCCAGCAAGGAUUCCCCUGCCCCUUUAUGCUUCUGGGAGUACCACAACUUGGUUCCAGUCUGUGAAGAUCCAUGUGCCUUUCUUCCAUAUGCCAACUUAGCAUUAAUCAGAAAAUUCUAGGUAAAUACUUCAAACAUAUUCUGGUACUGUGCAAAAUAAUUUAUAAUUAGUUUAUUCUCCCUUCAUUGAGUCUGUAGGGCAUUUAUAAAAAACAAGAGCACUAACACACCUGGAAUGACUACAUUUAAUUGAAUGACUACUUUUAAUUGAAUUCACAGUAAGAACUUGGAAAGGGAGGGAUGUGUGUGGACUGCGCUGGGUAGAGCUUCAUGCUAGAGGUGGGGAACCCUUACAUGUUCUCUCUUCCUUUAUUUUUCUUUCUCUUUUAUUCCCAGCCCUCCUUCUCUUUGAGAGGGUCAUAAACACUACCAACAGUUUAUACCUGGGGGCUAAAUCUUCUCAAGCUUUGGGAUCCAUGUUAGGUACCAGGUUGUCAUGAUAGAAUUGUAUCAAAUGAAAGAAUAAACAAGGACACACCAAAGUGGAGUCAUGAAGGUUGAAGAGGAUUUUGGUGUAAACACUGACUCCUUCCUUUUGAAGGCACACGCUCUUUUCAGGCCCAUGAGUGGUUAGAGGUGCUUCAGUUCAGCUCAGAGGCAAGGGUUUGUUGAUUUCCUACUAUCUAUGUUUGGAAGCGCAAUGAAAAAAGGAGGUCAUUGUUUUCUUAAAGGUUGUUUUCAUGAUUCCCCAUGUAGCAAGCUUCAAACUUUGCAAGCCACCAUAUGCAGAUACUUCUAGUUGGUGGGAGAAGAGGUAAGAGAGACAUAGGCAAAGUAUAUGGGGUCACCAGCCAGUGGUCAGGAGAAGGCACUGGAGUCUCUUUAAGAUUUUGCUCCACGUGGACAUGGUGGCUCAUGCCUGUAAUCCCAAUUACUAGGGAGAUGAGGCAAGAAGAUCCAAAGUUGGGGCAAUGUAGCUAGACCCUGUCUCAAAAACAAACAAACAAACAAACAAAAACCAAAAAACAAAAAACAAUCAAAAAACUAAAAAGGGCUGGGGCUGUAGCUCACUGGUGGAGGACUUGCCACAUAUGCUCAAGACCCUGGGUUUAAUUCCUGGUACUAUGGGGGGGGGGAGAUAUUUUGCUCAAAUAUGAUCUUUAGAAAGAAAAUGUAAAUGUCAUCAAGGAGGCAAUAUGGAGAAAUUCUGUUCACUUCAAGAAACAUGAAUUGAUUACCUAUUAUGCACAAGGAAUCAUGUUGAACACGGCAAUAUAAAGACAUCUUCAACAGCCUUUUAUUAUUGCAAGCACAUGAUUUUUCGUGUAUUAUUUCAUAUUUCAUCAACUCUCAAACAAACCUACAAGAUAUUUAUUACUAUUUAUAUGUAGAUAAAGAACUCAAAUUUUGAAGAAUUUAAAUAACUUGCCCUUGCAAGCUUAGCUGGUAAGAAUGUGAACUUGGAAUAGAGCCCGGAUCUGUGAACCUCUGUUGUCCUAAUUGUUCCCUGGUCUUGCUGCCCAGAAAAAGCCUACAAAUGGAUCAAUAAGGAAAUUAUUGCAACACAAGGGAUGCUCCAGUGUAUUUAAAGGUAGGAUUGAUCAUAAAAGGGAAGUAUGAAGAAAUCACUGGUAUUUUUUUCUGGAUGAGAGGUUAUACUUCAAUAAGAGUAUUUCCAUUUUCGCAAAAGAGUGGAAAGAUAGCUUUCCUAAUGGUAAUACUCAGUAAUGGCACUUGAUCUAAUUUUAGCCCAUUGUAUGAUUUGAUUCUGCAACAGAUCAUUUCCUUAGAGUGUUGAUAUCUAGAAUUGUGAACAGCUCACCAGUUGGGGUAGAGAAUUGACUAUUCAUUCAUUUUUUAAUAUUCCUUGUUUUGGUAAUUUGUGAUGGCACAUGAAGCAAAUAGGUUCAUAGCUCCCAAUCUUCAAAAAUCUUGACAUCUUUUAGAAUUAUUUGGUUAAAACUAGUUCUCUUCUCUCAGUUCAUUAGUUUACCAAAUGUGCAAAUAGGGUGGAAAAGCGAAAAUUAAUUUUCCAUCUACUUUAGAAUGUUGUUUCUAAUCACACAUUGUUAUUUCAUCCUUUAGUUUUUCUUCCUUUUUUUUCCUUCCUUCCCUUUGAGAGGGUCAUAAACACUGGAAGUAGUUUAUACCUAUGUGCUGAGUCCUUUAAAGCUUUUUUUUUUUUUUUUUGGAUCUGUAUUAGAUGCUACAUUGUCAUAGUAAAAUAAUAUCAAAUACUGAAGAAUAAAGCAGCUUCCAGGAGUUCGUUUUUCAGAACUGGUACCAGGCAGUAGCGUACAGGCCUUUGUCCAGCUCCCAAACAACUUUUGGACAUCUGCUUGGCCAGCUACUGACCACAGUGGAUGUGGGCUGCCCUGGAACUUGGCCUUCAAGAGGAAUAAAGGGUGGGGAAGGCCUUUUAUCAUCACUGGCUCCCUUUUCAUCAGACAUCACAGGAUGAACUUCUUCAAAGAAAUAACUUCAAUGGUGCUUAGGAGCCCCGCUGGCCUGCGUAGCCCAUUCAACAAGAAGCAAAAGUGAAACUUCACUCCCAGUGGGAAUAAUAACAUCGUAGUUCACCUGUGAGGCGUCAGGGUUUUAUUGCUUUCUUUAGGACCAUUUAUUGCUUUCUUUGGGCCUAUUAUUAUUAUUAUUAUUAUUAUUAUUAUUAUUAUUAUUUUGUUGUUGGAAAGUGAGUCCAGAAUUUCAAAUUUCUGACUCACACAUGGAACUUUUGGAAUCCAAACUCUUUGUAAUUUGGGGAAUCCUUCAAUUUUAAAAACUCAAGCCAGAUGAAAAACCCCUUACAGUAGAAAUGUCCUUAGCUUGUUAUUCUAAUACACUGUUGUUGAAAGCAUUUCUUUUUCCAGGCUGCAUGGCACACACUCUUGGAAUCGAAGGCUCAGAUGUUUUGAGUCUUCUAAGUCAGGGGUCUGCCGAUUCCUUAAAGGCAUGGAAUUAGGAAUUUCAAGUGGAAGCCCCUCGGCCAACCUCCAGAAAAGAGAAUACCGUGGAGCUGUGUGGCUGACCGUGGGUGGGUGUGGGGGCCAAGCCCCUGCCUUCUCCACAUUACCCCUGCUUCCUCAUCCCAGGGCCUUUGGAAAUCCUGGGCCUCUGGAGGGGACAGUUUGGAAAACUAUUGCUCAAAAUGAAGAUGAAGUGUUAGCUGCUUCCCCACUUAGUUGUUUAUAUGAUUGGCUUAGCUGUUUGCAAUCAUGCUGAAAAUAAUACGGAUUGGGGAUUCUUUGUGUUCUUAAAUGGAUUGUGGGUAAUUUAUGAGUACAGAUAAGAUAAAAGAUUGAAGAUGAUUAUGGAUAAGAUACAAAUGAAACUAGGGCCUUUGAGUCUUUACUUUGCAAUCUGUGUUGAUCCUUUUUUAAUCUUGCAAGUUUCUGCAGAGGCAUAUAAAACAUGCUUUACAGGAAAUAUGAUCUUUGAUAGUGGUAAGGGUGAGAGGGUAACAAGAUUUUUUAAAAUAAGGAAGAUGAUUGUUAAACAUCUUCAUGGGAGGAUUGGAGACACGUGUUUAAUAUAAGCAUUUGGAAGUUCAAAAAUGAGGUAUUGUGGUGUGCUUGCCUUUUUCCUAACCCACCCUUAACCCCUUUCAGUAUCUCUUCAUUUUAUGUUCCAUUUUCAGAGGGUUUCUGCCUCAAUUAUCUGUCAUCUAACCACCCAGUAAGGUGUUAAUUACCUGCAGCAAGACCUCUGUUGGGUGGCAGUUUCAUUUUAAAGAGCAUCCACUGAAGCAGACUUCUUUGAAAGCAAUAAAUCCCUGACCAGGGACUGCAGUUACUAUCAGAUGAUGACUGGUGCACCAUUUUGAAUAGCAUCAUCUGUAUGUUUCAAAUCCCAUUUCCUGGUUCCUUACAAUGUCAUAAAUUAGACCUAAAUUGCAGUUGUCCCUGAGCACUGUGCCACAUUCUAUGCCAUUGGGGAUACUGCAGCGAGUGGAACCAGUCCCCUCAGAGGACUUAUGGUCUAGAGGGAAAGAGGGUGAUAGUAAAAACAACAGGGCUGGGGUGUAGUUCAGUGGUAGAGUGCUUGCCUGCCAUGUAUGAGCCCUGAGUUUGAUCCCCAGUAAUGGGGGAGGGGUGAGGAAGGAAAUAGUAGCUCUGAUAAGACCUGCAGAAAGAGCUGAGUGUAUGUUAACUUUGUUCUUUUGGGGGUACUGGGGAUUGAACUCAGUCAGAGGCACUAGACCACUGAGCCACAUCCCCAGCCCUAUUUUGUAUUUUAUUUAGAGACAGGGUCUCACUGAGUUGCUUAGUGCUUUUGCAUCACCUGUAUGUUUUUGCUUUUGCUGAGGCUGGCUUUUAACUUGAGAUCCUCCUGCCUCAGCCUCCUGAGCCAUAGGGAUUACUGGCAUGCUCCACCAAAGCUGACCUUAACUGUGUUUUAAUUUAGUAUUUUCUGGGAGUCGGAAGCCUGGUGCCUUUCUGCAGAUGGACCCAUCCUGGCAUCUCAGAGUGCUUUGCUGCAUCCUGCCCAGCCACAGACCCCAUUUCUUCAUGAGGGUGCAUCUUGCCCUUCGUUUCCUCAUCUUAGCUGACUCUACUCUUUGUUGGAUCCUCUUACUGUCCCUUGUCUCAUUGGGCUACUUCAGACUUCUAAACAGGAAGAUAGACUCUUCACAAAGUUUUUGUUGGUAGUUUUUAUGUUUCUGAGGAUCUUGGACAAGAAAAUGUUCAUACUUGCCUCUUAAUUUUCUCAUUCUUUUCAAUUUAAUUUUGACAGCUUUAUUGGUCAUGUCUUUAAAAUUUUUAUUUUUUUACCAUUUGUGGCUGUCCUUGCAGCCCAUGGCAAUGGGAUUCUUGUGUAUCUAGAGGUAAAAGUUCAUGGGAGAGAAUCUUCAGCAUGUUUCUCUUCAAGGUUUUGAGGCAGUGGAAAUGAUGAGGGAUUAUGUUUCACAUCUCGGAAGGGAUGAAUGUGAAUAAGAACUUCAAAGGAGAAAUAUGAAUUCACUCAAUGUGGUGCAUGCCGAGCAGAUGUUAACUCUAACCCCCACAAUUUCCCAGAAGUCAGAUUUCUUUUUUAUAUUUUACUCCUGGAUAAGAUGAUGUAAGAGACAAAAAUGUCAAUAGCAAGAGUCAGGAAGACAGCCAAGAUGUUUUGACUUGCUGUGUCAUGACUGGGUUUUAGAGCCUUUAAUCACAGGGGCCUGAAGUUCUACUCCUCACCCUCCUGAAAAGACCCAUAUCCUUUCCAUGUGUUUCCAGAGUCUCAACAAAGUUGGUCUCUUGAUUCUCUCCUGGCUCAUGCUACCUGCCUUUCCACCAUUCCUGCAGCUCAUGGUGAAGGGCAUGGAUGGGUAAGCUGCAGGUUAUUUGCUGCUAACAAGUAGACUGGAAUCAGACAACUGGCCCUGGAAUUAGGAAUUUGAAUACAAGCUUGUUCCUUCAUAUAUGUGGGGUCUGCAUCCACACAUUCAACCUACGAGGGAGAGAAAAUACUCAAAAAAGAAAAUGAUGUCUGUAUGGAACAUAAACUGGCUUUUCUCUUCCUCUUGUCACUUUUUCCUAAGCCACAGAGUAUAACAACUACUUACAUGGCAUCUACAUUGUAGUAGGUAUUAUAAAUAAUCUAGAGAUGAUUUAAAGUACAUAAGAGGCUAUGUUUAGUUACAUUCAAAUAGUAUAUCAUUUUAUGUUAGGAACUUGGACACAUGCUGAUUUUUGUACCCAUAGAGGUUGGGGAUGGUGCUGGACUUAAUCCCCUGUGAAUAUUGGGGGAUGACUGUAUUGUCUAUCCAUUUUAUGACUCUGAAGUCAUGCCUCUAACAGCUGUGAUGAGAAAUUAAAAAAAAUACUAAAUCAAUAUAUUUUUUCUUUCUCUCCCAUAAAUCAUAUUCUGCCAUACCACCUCAUUCAUGGCCCUAGAGAAAGAAGCUGAGUGAAUACCACUUUAGAAAGGAGGGAAUAUGGUCCCCUUAGAAAGGGAAUACCUACCCCAUAACUCCAUCUUUUGGCUAGGAUAGAUUGUAGGAAGAAGGCAGAAUAAUCAGAGACUGAAUCAAGACCACCCCUCUCGGCUGGCUGAAGUCUCAGAGAAGGAAGAUGAGGAGACUGUUAGGUGGAGGAACAAGCCCAAAGCAGAGAAGAGCAUCCCUGGUAGCCAGGAGUGGGCUGUGCAGCCCUGGGUUAGUUGGAUGGACCUCAGUGAACAGCAAAGAGGGACAGAAUCUACAUGGAAUACCACAAAGGCUCUUCUUCAGCCAAAAAAACCAUACCAUGAAGUCACCAGCCACAGUCUUCAGUGUCUGACACCAACAGGGUGUCCAGUGACUGACAAGAAAGAUACCACUGAAGGACACUUCCCACCUCCCUCUGGGGCCACCAGAACCCUCCCCACUCACUCACGUUUGGAAGCCAUUUUGGAGAGGAGAUGGGAAGCAGGAAAAUCUGAAUUUACCAAGGUUGACUGUUUGAAUCAUUGACUGGACCGAUUUUAAUGCAUGAAACUAUGUUUAGUUCCUUCCACCUGAGUGUGACAGGGACUUGUGAGCAAUCGCAAGCAAUUAUAAGAAAUAUUCUUCAUUUUAUUUUGUAUCUGAAUACAUCGUAGGUAAAUUGCUAAUCUGUCACACACACUUUGAUUUUAUUUGGUAAAAUAUAGCACUUGACCAGUCAUCAGGAGAUCUGGGUUCUCUUCCCGCCUCUUCCACUAAGUGGCACUAUGGGCACCACUGACCUUUCUCAGGGCAUAAAAAUGAUGGGUUGUACUAGGUCAUCCCUAAAAUUCCUCCCAGUUUUAAUGAUCUAUUUUGUAUUUUAUUUAGAGACAGGGUCUCACUGAAUUGCUUAGUGAAUUGUUCGAUUUCAGAACAAAAAAUGUUCUGCAUAGCAUCUCAAGUUAGUAAUAAAAUAACUUGAGGAAAAGAAACCUUUAUUCUUUUCUGCCCAAAUAGUAAUAGCCAGACCUUGGGUUCCAUUCCACCAUUCCCUUAAAAGCUGUCUCCCUGGACUGGUCCUGGGUCUUGGCUGAAGGUCAUGAUCACUUAGAUCCAGAGAAGUUGAUAGACAAGUUAGUUUCACUUGGAAAAUAUGUCUAAUUUUGUACAACACAUGCUUAAAAUCAACAGAGGACCAAAGAAAAUAAUGUCCAUUCACUGAGAGCAACUAAUUCUGGUUUCAGUCUGGAGUCAAGAGAUCAAGCUGUUCUUCCCUGUGCCACACAUCUGUUGGUGCUGAGCACUGUUUUACAAGGAAUCACUAAUGAUCACUGCAGUAAUACAACUUUGCCCCAUCACCACACAAGUGAGUGGUGAAAACAGGAGAAAUGGCAAACCCUUUGAAAACCAGAGUUGAAGGCAAAAAUGCAUUUCUAAGUGUUCAUGUAAAAAUUUUAAUGCAGUGAGAACUGUGAGUCGUUUCACUUAUCUCAGUUGUAAAACUUCUAUAACUUAUAUUCAAGGUCAUGUGUAACAGGGCAUAUACCUUUCUAAAUUCUUCAGUAGAUGUUUUUGAAUUUUCUAUGUGGCAAUCACCAGAAUAACUGUGCUCUUGUUAUGCUUUCAGGAAAUCCCCACCUAUUUUAGUUUCUUUUCUUUAUGAAUUCUUAUUUUUAAGUUUGUUUUUCUUGAAUGGUUUUGAUUUUGAGGGGACUUUUGAACUUUAAAUGUUGGUCUUUACAGGACUGGGGAUGUAACUCAGUGGUAGAACAUAUACUUAGCAUGUAUGAGGCCCUGGAUUUGGCUCCUAAUACCACUGAGAUGAUAGAAAAUGUUGGUUUCUUCUCUUUAUAAUAUUUCAAUCUGUUCUUUAGCAGCCCCAUUUCCCAUUUUUUUUUUUUUUGUGGGGGAGAGUACUGGGGACUGAACUCAGAGGCACUCAACCUCUGAAUCACACCUCCAGUCCUUUUUUGAAUUUUAUUUAGAGACAGGGUUUCACUGACUUGCUUAGUACCUCGUGGUUGCCGAGGCUGGCUUUGAACUCGAGAUCCUCCUGCCUCAGCCUCCCUAGCUACUAGGAUUAGAGGUGUGCACCACCACACCUAACUCCCAUUUCCCUUUUUAGGAACAGUUUGUUUUGCUGAGUCUGACACUUCAGUUGAUUCCAUGGACCCAAACAGUAGCUCAAAGAUACAGAGCAGAUAAUCUAAAGCCGUCACAUUUUAUUAAAUUAGUAGGUGCAGGAGGGAAACUGAGAAUUUCUUAAUACUCUUUUUUUUCUUUUUUAAUUUUUAUUAUUAAUACUCUUAAUUAAUUAAGAAAAUAAUUAACUAAGAUUGAUGGAUCAGAGACUGAAGCAUGACCUCUCCUUUUUCUGCUGGUUGAUGUUGCCGAGAAUGGAAAUGAGAGAAGUGUAUCAGCUGGAUGGAAGAAGUUCAAGGCAGGUGUAUGGACUGCCUCAUCCUCUCCCGCUUCAGUGACAGACUUGGGUCCUGCACAGCAUGGUGGGCAGGGUGGUCCAGCUCAGGUGAUGAGUUGUAUUUCCCAGCAUCUUGGUUUCUCAUGUGGUGUGGAAGAUGGUUGAAGGGCCAGUAUUCCUUGGGGGAUGCCAAGGAUGCUUUCUGGGGAGCUCCCAGGAACUAGCCUUUAUUUCUGAAACUAUUUUUAGAAUGGAGGAUGUGGCUCUAAAACCACUACUUCACGAUGGCAUCAGGCCACGAAGCCAAACUUGAAAGAUGGUGGGUAUUGGAUUCAGCAAAGGCCUUUGGGGGCAAUAACUCUAAUGUCUACAGUACAUUUUGGAGUACUGAAUAUUUUGACUCUCAUUAAAGUCCAUAGGUGCGUGAGUGAUUAUUAUUUUAUUUAUCAGAACUUAUCUGGCCUAGUCAUCAUUUCACUUUUUCUUAAAGCUCUGUUUAGAGCUCUCACCUGACUUCAGAAAAACCUUUCAACUGGAAUUCUGUGGGGGGCUUUUUCAAGAAAUUCUCUGGGGAAAGAUGACUAUGGUAACUUCAUACUUUAAAACAUUUCCAUUCAGGAUAAUCAUUAUGGUGUAUUCUGAAACAGGACCUCUAUGUGGACUUCCAAGACUAUUGCUUGUACCUUUUUAAUGAGUUUUUUUGCAUUAAAAAAAUGUUCAAAUAGAGCAAUUAGAAUUUCCCUUCUUAUUUUUUGUCUUCUGGUGAAGGGUCAGGAUGAUGGCAAAUCAGAAAUGAAAGUAACACAAAUUUGAUCCUAACUAGUAUAGCAGUUCUGGGCCCUUUUUGAUUGACACUCUGAAUGUCUGUUUCGGUGGAUUUUUUUUUUUUUUUUGAAAGGGAAUCUGUGAUCUGUGGCUACCUUCUAAGAGAAAUUCAAGAAGUAUCUUCAGUUACAGAGUUAGCUUCCUCAGCACAUAGUACUGUUAGGCAAUAAAUAGCUAAUUAUACUAAGAGUCAAAUUCCAAAAAACCUGAAGAAUAGUGAAGCCAAGAAUCCUAAACUGUUUUAAUUCAAAUAAACAAUCUUUGAGCCCUAAGAGAGAUUUUUAAAAAUUUAAUUCUAGAAUGGCUCUAUGGCUCACAAACCAUUAAAAUUAAAACUAAAUUAAAUUUAAUUGUGUUUCAGCUAUUAAGAAUAUAUUAUUUAUAAGAUUUCCCUUAAAUUGGAUAAUUUGUGUCUGCAGCCAUCUACCCUGGAUGUGCCCGUUCCCAUCUGAUCUUGGAAGCUUAGGCAGGAUCAGUAAGUCCUUGGAUGGGAGAACAAGGUAAUUUCCAAGGAUCUGAAACUUUACAUUCUAGAGCAUUUAAUUCUCUACAGGAGUGCCACUUAAGUCUUAGGGUUAUGUGUGUGUGUCAGUAUAAUAUGCAUAUAUGUAGAUAUGCAUAUAAUAUAUACAAUAUGCAUAUACAUGUAUAUAUAUUUAUACAUGCACAUUCUUAUACAUGUAUGUAUGUAGCUAUGUAUAUUUAUAAAUCUAUGUAUAGUAUGUAUAUAUAUUGUAUAUAUAUUGUAUAAGAUGAAGGGAACUUGAAAAAUGAUUUCCAGAAGACUGAGAAAACAUGGAUACCUUUUCUCUUUUGUUAUCAAUGGCAACAUGUGCUUUAAUUUACUGCUAGUUUUAAAAACAGCUGCACUUUUUUUUUUCUUUACUGCAGUAUAAGUUCCCUGUCAAGUGAAUCUUCUUUGCAUGCAAUUCCUGUGUAUUUUAGUCUUUCCCCGUGUUUUAAGAAAUAGCUAAUGUGAGAAAAGUAUAAUAGAAAUACUGUUAUUUCUGGAAGUACGGCAAUGAGAUCUUUGCAAAAUAUCACCUCUUCCAGAGGACAGGACACCCAUCUACCACUUAAUAAUAGGCAUAAACGUAAAUAAAUAGUCUACCUGUUUGAUGAGCCUUAUUCUUUUUGUGUGGUUCGUCAACUUAAUGUUUUUGGAACGUCUGUUUUCAUCUCUGCCCUUUGUUUUAGAUUUUAACUAGAAGCUGGUGGUCUUGGUAAUUUAAUGAUUAUUAUUCAGUAACCCUGCCAAGCAAUCAUCAAAAUUAUAAUACAUCAUUUAAUGAUAAAAGGGUGAUAAUGUAUGAAACAAAGGAGAAAGAAUAAAAAGUAGUUUCAUGAAAAUCAGGCUCUUAAAAGAAUGAAAAAUUAGAUGUUUUCCUGAGAGGUGGACAGAUGCCUGAUCUUUCUUGGCACUAACUACAAAUGGAGAAAAAUCACAGCUUUCUAGAUUUCAAACCUCUGCUAGCCAAGAAAUCUCACCGAAGGCUCCACAAGCAUUUCCUGUAAUGGAUUCUGUGUAAAGCUGCUUCAGUUAUUUGUUGGUUUAAUCUACAUUCAUUGAAUGCCUCCCUCCCGGGACUCAGGGUGUGUGUGGAGGGGCAGCCAGUAGAGAUGGUAUGAAGUGCAGUUCAAGGAUAGGACUGGUUCCUGAUGUAUAUGUGUUGAUUUGGUCUCCUCAAGAGAUACUCUCUCAAAUUCUGAGAAUACUUUUUUUUUUCUGUAUCUCAUUUGGCGGCUUCUUCUUCUUCUUCUCCUUCUCCUUCUUCUUUUUCUUUUGGGAAUGACCUUUGUUUUUAUUUAUUUGUAUGCGGUGCUGAGAAUCAAAUCCAGUGCCUCACACAUGAUAGGCAAGAGCUCUAUUACUGAGCCAUAGCCCCAGCCCAUGGCUUUUUCUUCUUUAUAUGGUUUGGAUAUGAGGUGUCCUUCUAAAGCCUCUGUGUAAACGAAGGAAGUGAAAUGAUUAUUAGAUUAUGAGAGCUGUCACUUAAUCAGUUAACUAAUCCAUUUGAUGCAUUAAUUUGGGUGGAUUCCUGGGUGGUAACUCUAGACAGGUAGGGCAUGGUUGAAGGAGGUGGGUCACCAGGGGUCUGACUUGAGGGUGAUUUAUUUUAUCCCCGGUUCCUGGUGCUCUCUCUCUGCUUUCUGGCUGCCAUGAGCUGAGCUUUCCUCUGUCACACCCUUCUGCUAUGAUGCUCUGCCUCACGUUGGGCCCAGAGCAACGGUAUUGGCCCAAUCACAGACUGAACUUCUGAAAUUGUGAACUCAAGUUUUUCCUUCAGCAAGUUGUUCUCGUUAGGAAUUUAGAUCACAUUGAUGAAAAGUUGACUAAUAUACCUCUCAUCUUCCUCUGAAAUAUUGACCCCAUUCUUUGAGCCUCCUUUUUCUUUCCCUAGAUGGAUAUCAAAUUCUCUGAGAAGCUGUACUUUGGAGAAGACAUGAUUCUGUACCUAGUUUUGGAAGAAGCCCUUUGUAUUUUUUUGUUUUCCCUCCCUCAGCAGCUGUGUCUUUUAGUAAAUUAUUUGUAGAACUUGGUCCUUGUUAAAACAAUGGAGGUCAGACCUGUUUUUGAUUGCUUUGUGGACAAAGGAAGCCUCAUCCAAUAAAAGCCAUAUUUGUUGUUAUUUUCAGCAAAAUCAAAUUAUGCCAUCAGUAGUAUCCCAACCCUCUUGUCAUCCUCCAGACUGCACAUGGGUGGUUCCUAACCCUCUUUGGGUCAGGGAUCCCUUUGGAAAUUCUGUGAAAGUCAUGGAGCUUGCCCUCUGAGAAAAGUAGAGAAGUCAACUUUAGAAUAUGAGAUGCCAACUUUAGAAUGUAGUUUCUAGGGGUUCAAGGGAUAGUGAAGGCCUUCAGUGGUACCCUGAAGAUCCCCAAGCAUUAUGGGGAGUGGUCCGGUGGGUCCAGAGGCACAGGGAAGAAAAACUGGCUGGACUCACAGGCCUGGCAGACACUACAGACAUUGCCACAGAAAGAUGAUGUAUUUCCUGCUUUAUAAGCACAAUUUAUUUUAUCCUAAAUUAAAAUAUUAACUGUUUCGUAAAUAUAAUGUUAAACUGUUACUGCCUUUUUAAAAAAAAGUGAUCUUGUAGUGACUGUUAAAACUUAAAAAUACAGAUUCUCUUAGAUUCAGCAGUUCCACUCCUGGGUGUCUCUUUUGUAAAAACAAAAUCAUCAGCAUUGAAGGCCUGUGUUCAGGCACCUCUAUGAUAGCAUUGCUUCUAACAGCAAAAGACUGGAACCAGCGAGAAAAGGGGAGAGUGGAAUAUAGGAUGAUCAUGCAUAUGGCAAGUAUCAUGCUGCCAUUAAAAAGAAGGAAACAGCUAUAUCAAAUACCUUGAGGAGGUACCCAGAGAGGGUGAUUCAGUGAGAAUCAUAGAUGCAGAGAAGUGUGUGAAUGACAGAAUCUUCCCUGUCCACACACGUGUGUCUGUUUCUUUGCCUACAUGUAUCUGUCUCUUCUUAUGCUUAUAUGUGUGUAGACAAAAAUGUGGACUAAUAUAAUCUAGGUUGUUAACAUUGAUUUCUGGGGCAUAUAUGAACCGAGCAUAUAAAGGGAAAAAAAUCAUAAAAAGUAAACUACAUUAUAUAUAAUGUCUCUAUAUAUGUAAUGUGUGUGUGUGUGUAUUCAUUUAUUUGGGUGAGCAUAUAUAAAAGGAAAUAAUGAUUUCAAAAACAUGUUGCUUGUAUGUUUAGAUCCCAUUGUUUGACUUCUUUCACAGUCAGGGUGACACUGGAGGCUUACCAUUCAGGCUAGGAUUUGACUUGACUAGUUUGGCCAGCCUGAGUUCUUCCUAUUGACUUUUUUUUUUUUUUUUUUGGUACUGGAGAUUGAACCCCCAGAUGCUUUAUCACUGAGCCACAUUCCCAACCCUUUUUAUUUUGAAACAAGAUCUCCUUAAGUUGCUUGGGGCCUCACUGAGUUGCUGAGGCUGGGCUUGAGUUUGCUAAUCCUACUACCUCAGCCUCCUGAUUCGCUGGGAUUAUAGGCAUGCGCCACUGCGCCUGGCUCCUGUUGACUUCUUAGAUGGAUUUCCUGGAACUUAUUACUCUAAAGCCAUUCAGUCUGUCAGCAAAUGUUUAUUGGAUGUCUUUUAUGUCACAGAAUGAGGUUUUGUGCUGGGGAAUACUCCAAGAACUAAGAUGUGAGGUGUGUGUUUGCACAUGUCAGGAACUGUUUGCAUGUGAACUUAAUAUCUUUUUUUGUGUGUAUAGUGCUGGGGACUGAACCCAGGGUCUUGUGUAAGCAAUUGCUCUAUCACUAAGCUGCACUACCAGCCCUUUUUAAAAAUAUUUUGAGACAGAGUUGUACUGUGUCUUUGGAGGAUUAACCUAUGUCUAUGAGAUUGGAUACCUGGAAUCAUGUACUAUUGUCAUAAGACUCUUAAAAUUUUUACCACUGCUAAGGAAACUAAAUAUAUACAAGAGAAGUAAACGUGUAAUUCAGUUUUAAGACACUAAGGUAUUUAUUUGAGUCAGAAAAUAUACUUUAAAUUUUUUAAAAUAUUGAAAUGGCUUUGAAUUUUCAUUGUUUAAUUCAUUAAUGAUGUCUCUGUUUUAGAGGAGAUUUUAUGAAGAGAAAAGUUUUUCAGACAAUACUGUUGUUACCAAAUAUGCCUAAUAUAAUUUCUAAAUAUAAAGUUAGUGUAGGUCAGAUAAAGAGAUGAAUGGUUAAAAAAAGAAAACCCUGCAAUCCGAUGUUCAAAUUCAACUGUUGUUGACAUAACUGAGCCAAUCUAUAGAUGAAUUUAUGUAUAUACAUACAAGAGAAAAAAAUUCAGGUUAUAAUGCAUUUUAAUGCUUGUAACUAUAUGAGUGAAACAGAAAUUUGUACCCAUGAUACAUUUUUUUUGAUUCUUGAUUCUUUGAACUACUUUUGCUUUGUUUAUAUAUUUUUAUAAUAGAGAUAAGAACUGAAACUUUUUUUUUUUAAGUAUUUACAACUUAUCUCCUUUCACAUAUUACUUCUCUGGGAAAUGUAAAAUUUGAGAUUUAUAUAAAAUGCCAAAAUAAAUAAAACAAAGUUUAAUUUGUUUGAAAAUGAGUGGUUGUGCCUGUAUAGACAACAGCCUUCACUCUUCUCUGAUUCAGUGGUGCUGUCUGAGAACCUUUUAUCUCCUCAGCAGGAUAUACACAACCUAAGUCGAUGCAGGAAACCCAUGACAUCAUCCUCAAUCAAUAAUCAUUGAUUGAAGAAAGCUGGUCUCAGAGCUAUGCAUUAGGUACCAGGAGGGAAGCAGAGGGAAAAGUCACCAUUUCUGUCUUUGAAGAAUAAUCUGGCUCAGAAAAUAGUUCAAGUGUACAUGUUUUGACAUGUUUCUAUAACAAAGACCUUUUCAACUAACUAGGGAAAUCAACAUUAAAGUGAUUAAAGGAGUGAUUGUGGGACUGGCUAAGGGUUGGAGGGCAGGGACAAUUGUCCUGUUCAGUUGUCAGUAGGCAAUUGAACCAGAGACAAGACAUGAAGGAGACAUGAGCCAAAUCUAUAAAACUGUAUCCAUCCUAAAGGUGCCAGCUGGGUGUGAGAGGUCAGUCAGGUGAAGCUGUGCUCCUGAGAAUAGGAGAAACAUUAGUAGCAACAGCUGAUAUACUUGUCAGCUUUCCAUCAUUAAAAUGAAAUGCCUGAGAUAAUCAAGUUACAUAGAGAAAAGUUGUGUGGUUUUUUUUUUGGUAACAGGGAUUAAACUCAGGGCCACUAGACCACCGAGCCACAUCCCUAGCACAUUAUUGUAUUUUAUUUAGAGACAGGGUCUCACUGAGUUGCUUAGUGCCUUGCUUUUUUUUUUUUUUUUUUUUAUAAAGCUGGCUUUGAACUCACCAUCCUCUUGUCUCAGCCUCCCAAGAUACUGAGAUUACAGGUGUGCGCCACACGCCUGGUGAGAAAAGGUUUAUUUUGGCUUAAGUUUUGGAAGUUUCAGUCCAUGAUCAAUUGACUGCUUUGGGUAUGUGGUGAAGCAGCUUAUUAUGGCAGGAACACAUGGUGAUCAGAACUGCUUACCUCAUCACCAGGAAGCCAAAAAGAAAAAUCUUCAGUUUUUGGUGAGUUUCUGAUUUAAAGAAAAAUAAUUUCUAUAACCAAAUCCAAGUAGAUUUUUGAUCUGGUAAAUAUCCUACAGUUUGGGAGUUUGUAGGAUUUCACACAGUAGGUGGUGAAUAAGAGCUAAUGGCUGAAUUCCAGUGUUUAUCUUGCAAAGUAAUAUGCAAUUCUGUAUUUUUUUUUCCUGCAUAAGACACAAAGCUCUACUACAAUUAUUUAUGAAUAAUUUCACAUGACUCAUGUUGGUAAGACUAUUGUAAAUUAACAUUUAAAGAAGAAUGUUUCAUCAACCUUAAAAAAAAUGAAUCAUCCCUUCUUCCCACAUCAGAGAUUUUUCCUUCUUGUCUAAAAAGUACCUACUUCUUUUUAGAGGUUGACUUUUAGGUUGAGCUGGUAGUUUUCACCUCUGGAGAAGAAAAACAGAAUCAUGCUUAGAAAAACUCUGCUAGCCAAACAAAUCACCCUGAUUACUACAUAAGGAGAAAAGGAGCUUACUAUAUAUAUACAUACAUAUAUAUAUAUAUAUAUAUAUAUAUAUAUAUAUAUAUAUAUAUUUUGUGCAUGUUUUUAGAUCAAUGCAUAAAUGAGAAGGAAGUGAUACUGGAAAAAAAUGGAGAACCCAUUUGGAUUAUAUUUGGUGUAGUGGGUGUAGUGGGUACUUCAAACUGCUACCUAACAGAAGCUCUUAUUUUUCAUUGGAAAGCAAAACAAAUGGUUGUUUAAAAAAAAAAAAGACUUUUGAAAGAGGGUGUUGGCUUGUUAAGGAACAUCAAGCUUCUGCAAUCUGGUCACAUGUGGGGUGCUGUUAGUCACCUUCUAGUUACUGAAAAUUGGGUUUUAACAAUAAUGGCAUUAUUUUUCUGUUUUUUUUUUUUCUGGAGAAUCUAUGAUAGUGCCAUAUCAUACCCUGCAAAUUAUUUAUUUGGGGAGGCCAAGAAGUUAUGUCCUUCUUAUAACCUGGAAAAUUCUUCUAAUAUCUAGUACAUCACUUUGUGAGUGCUGGGGUUCCCAGCAGCCUGUCCUGGGGAAUGUGUGACCCAGGGGCCUACUCAACCUCUUCUGAUGUACCCAGCUUCCUCUAGUACUAUGCAGCUGUUCUCCCCAUGGGACCCGAUGACCUGUCAGCUUUUGGUUUCUGGCUGUCGGUUCCUAUCCCCUGGGGUAGGCAGUGGUUCCAGGCCUGGCUUUAGGCUUUCUUAUCCCUGACAAGCUCCAUCUCUCUGACACCUUUCCUGCAGUUUUCUGUAGAGAAAGUGGGAUGUAUAGGAACUAAUAGGGGAUCCUCUUUGGGUUCCAGAGGAAAGCACAGAGAAGCCCAGGAGUGUCAGAGUCAGUCCAGCAGGAGGGCAGAUCUCCUUAUUGGCUUGGCCACCUGGCCCUCUAUCUCUACUCUGAGCUUCCAGUCUUUCCUCUGUCUUUGGCUCCCAUGGUGGCCAUUCAUGGCCACCUGAUUGUGGCUUUCUUCUCUGUCUUCAUUGCAUUUGAUUUCUCUUUACUGUAUUGUUUUUCUUCCACAUCUUAGACUCCAACACAGCAGAGCACCCAGAGAUUUCAGUCUUUUGCUAACUGAGAGCUAUUUUGGCGUGUUGCUUUCUUGUUUUGGGUCCCUUUUAUCUGUUUGAAAUAAAUAUUUAAUCUUUAACCUUUUUUCUUUUUUGUACUGGGAAUUUAACCCAGGAGCAAUUUACCACUGAGCCUCAUCCCUGCCAUUUUUUAUUUUUUUUAUUUUGAGACAGAGUCUUACUAAGUUGCUGAGGCUGGCUAUGAACUUGCAAUCCUCCUGCCUCAGCCUACAGAGCCACUGAGAUUACAGGAGUACACCACUACACCCUUUAUCUAGAUUCUUACCUAGAUAAUAUUUUCUACAAAUAUUUUGUCCUCUCUUUUAUAAAUGCCAAUCUCCUGCUUAACUCAAAUGAUCAGGAAGACUUCUCUUCAGAUGUCUGUUACUUGCAGAAGGUCAGCAUUCUGCAGCUCUAUGUAGAAGGAGAGGAAGUUUGGCCAGAAAAAAACCCACUUUAAAAAAAUUUGUUUUAUACAUAACAGUGGAAUGCAUUUUGAUACAUAAAUGGAGUAUAACUUCUCAUUCUUUUGAUUGUACAUGAUGUAGAAUUAUACGGGUUGUGUACUCAUAAAUGCAUAUAGGAUAAAAAGCCACUUUUGAUGGGGGACAUAAGUAAAAACCAUCUCCCCAUCCUACAGCAUUUGACACUUAACCAUCCCUGAAACUGCAUCAUGGGGCCCAGCUGUAGCUUUUAACGUGGAUCAUGCCAGGGCACGUAAGCCAGUGCCGCAUGAUAAAGCAAUAAUUAACCUGCCCUGUGGUUUUCUGUUGUCCUUCUGCCUGACUUUUCCCUUCCCCUAGUGGCCAAAGUUUUCUGAAAGAGCAUGAUAUCACUGCCACAGGCCACUUUCCACCAUAUAACAAUUCAUGCAGCAGUUAGAACUCCAUUUUUUAAAAACCUUUCAUCAGAGGAGGAAGUACUUUAUAGUAAAUGUCUGCAUUGCUCGAGAUCAUUUACCCGUGGAGUCUUCAUUAGAUUCUUUAGUCAUUAUGGUUUGCAUCAUGUGAUCUUUUCUCAAACAUCAGCAGGGUGAACCAACGAUGAAAUUGCAUUUCUUUGAAUUAGAGUACAGAUGAUUAUGGGAGGAAAAAAGACAUUACAGGAAAAAUGUUCAUGUUUAUGUUUGAAUAAAUGUGGCAAGCUUCACAGCCUCCAAGACAGUUAAAGAAGUGUUUGUAUGAGACGUGGACUAAUGUGUCGCAUCACCUUAGCUGUGUCUCUGAAUGAAUGUGGGCACAGUGCUUGGACUCUUGGAUCCUGUUUAUAACAUGAAGCCUUAGACAUCUAACAGGUUUGGUAUGCAUUUCUUGUAGGGCUAGGAGAAUACAACAGCUCAUAGCUUUGAUUUUGUCUUAAGGCUCUAAUAUACAUUAGGCAAUCUGUAAAUGAUUGUUGAAAUAAACUGGAAUCUACUCAGAGUGCCAUCUACCCAUCACUUUUUAAUGCCCCUUCCAACCACCCCAACACACAUGGGGGCUUCUCUGUAGUUUUUGGUAGGGUAAAGGGUAACCCUAGGAUGAGAAAAAUUUUAGCAUCGCAGAGGAUAAGAAACAGUUAAAGCUUCAGUUUGGAAAAAGAGAAUUAUUACUUCCUAGGGUUUAUUUAGUUGGCUCUGACCCAAGACCUUGCUUGACCCUGAGUAUCCAGCAGCCCUUCACUGGUUCCAGAUGGCCAACCCUGUUUUGUGGUCAGCUCCCAGACCCUGUGGUGAGUGUGACCUGCUCCCAUGUUGUCCUGCAAUUGCAGCAGUGUCGCAGACCUCCUGAGCUAUGCACUAGAUAGACAGGAGUCCCUUAAAGGAAAGAUAAAGUGACGGAGUUAAGUGACUUCAUUGGGGCUGGUUGUGAAUUCAUAUUAUGGUUUUUAUAGGUAUCAGAUUUUACAUAUUGCAAAGUGUUAAAAGAAAAGCCAAUUGGAUUGUUAAUACAAUAUGCAGAUAGGAUAGUAUUAUUGCUUUGUGCUUUCUUAUAAUUUCUAUUUUUUGUCAUAGACAUCUGCUGGGUUAUAUAUAUGUUUUAUUAUGGUGUCAAGAAUGAGACAUGGAUAUAGCACUUUUAUUGUUCUACCAUUUCUUCUCUCUCUCUCUAUAUAUAAAGAUGGAAGAAAAAAAAAAAAAUAUAUAUAUAUAUAUAUAUAUUCUUCCAUCUCUUUUUUUUUUUUUUUAUCUUCAGUCCCGGUCCCUGUUUUCUCAGUGCUUCCUGUUUGUGAGAGCUCAGGCUAGUACCGAGACUUUGGAUUCUAGAUGGUGUGAGCAAAUGAUUGCAAGCAAUAUCAGAUGUCAUUUAGUGGAGGUUCCAGAUGAGCUAGUUAUUUGUUAAGGGCACUUUGUCCAGGGUCUCAUAUAAUCUUUACAACACCCUGCUUGGGUAAGUCUGAUUGUUCUUUUGUAGAUAAGAAGGAACCCAAGACUGAGAGAGGUCAUGUAAAGUGCCUGAGGCGCAAAGCUGCUCAGGAUUUUUUCCAAACUGGGCCCAGGACUUUUUGACUCCACAGCCCAAGAUGUUAUUACUUGGACAGGCUCACUGCAGUCAUUAUUCUGACAUUUCUGUGACUUUCUCUACCAUAUUGUAUCAGUGAUAUGACAUUUUAGGUUUAAAAAUGUUCCAAGAUCUUAUCAUUAGGUGAAAAUUUUAUAUUUGGAUUUUAAUAUUGUGAUUCCUGGUAAAUGUCCUAUUUUAUUUUAUUUUGGUGCUUAAAUUGAUUUUUAUCAUUCCUGAAAGUUUUUAGUACUUUGAAUUGUUCAAAUUAUGCACUUUUUGUUUGCAUGUCUAUUAUUUUACCCAAUUACCUAUUAUUUUAAUAGCUUUGGUAUUUUAGUAGUUUUAUCCAUCCUAAUUUGUAUUGAAUAAAUAUCCUCAUGUUUUUUGAGCUUAAUGAUUUUUAAAAUUGAGUUAUUUGUAUAGACUCAUGCUCAUACAUCUAAUUUUUCAUCUUUUUACUUCUUUAUAACACUGCUCAAGGUUUUGCCAGUUAUCAUAAAAUAAAUGAAAGAAGAACAUUUCAAAAAUGUUUUUACAAGUAAACCUGAUCAUACAAAGUACCUGGUUCUGUAGCAACUUGAUUUUUUGUGUAAUGACAUUUUGUUCGGUAAGGAAUUGUUAAUGCUUUCAUACAGAGUGUGUUACAGAAUUGGUUGCUAAUCCUAAACUCUUUACCUGUUAAUUUUUUUAAAACAAUUUGAUGUCUUUUUAUUUAUUUAUUUUUUAGUUGUUGAUGGACCUUUAUUUAUUUACUUAUUUUAUUUAUAUGUGCGCUGAGACUCAAACCCAGGGCCUCACACAUGCUAGGCAAGUGCCACAACUCCAGCCCUCACCUGUUAAUUUUUAUUGCCAAAUAUGUUUUCCCUCUCAUCACUUCAUGGUCUUUCUCUUCCAUGACUCCUCAGCAACCCAGAGCACUCAUUUGCCUUCCAGCUAUUCCCAUGCUGCUUUGGGGUGUGCUGAAGCUUCAGAGCAUCAUGAAUUGAAGUUUCUGACUUUGCUCAGCAUCUGAUUGUCAAGUGAAGUUACCUAGGGAGAAGCUAAUGUAGCCACUCAUCUGAUGGGUGCAGUUGACAGGGAACACAAGGAGUGCUCAGAGAAGGUUGAGCUUGGCUGCCUCCACUGGGCAGGGGUCACAGGAUGUGGGGAUUUUUCUCUGGGUGUGCAUACUUAAACGUAAGUGAGAUCUAUUGUCUGCAAGUACCAAAGAGGAUUUAAGGUAACUUUUAAUGAAAAAACACUAAAAGGACAUGUAUGAGUUUAAUCAGUAAGAAAAUAGAGAAGGAAGUGCUUCAGUGGAGGAACAGGGCUUUGACAGGUGGCAGGAAAGAAGAAAUGGCCCAGGAUAUUGCAGGUGGAGCUGGAAACGUGGUGGAUGGGUUGGCUGACCAUCUGUGGGCAGGUGACCCUACAGAAAAUCUAGAAGAGAUGAGGUGGGACUGCUUGUAGAGGACCUGGGUGGCUCACUAAGGAGGCUGGACUCCAACAUUAGGUGGAGACAUCGGCAAGUUCUUGGGCAGAAGAGUGAUCUGCUGAAACUGAUGUUACAGGAAGAUGAACCCAGCAGCAAACGGAUUUCUUGGGCAGUGAUUUGAAGUUAGGAGCCCAGGUAGGAAAUAUUUGCUGUAGUGAAAGCACACGAUAAUGAGAUAAUUGAGCGGAUGGAAGGGAAGGGAAGGGAAGGAGGACUCUGAAGGAGGCCCAUUUGGAGGAGUGAUUGUGUAUGAGUGGAGAAGGUGGUGGUGGCUCUGAAAUGUUCCCUGGAGGAACUCAUGGUUGGUAAACCAGGGGGAGGAACACUUAGGCAACGUGUCUGGGUACUGUGAUCACUGGUUUGAGGUAGGGGUUGUAUAAUGAAGUUGUGGUCACUUCCCUCUCCACCCCAGUCCUCCCUUGACAGUACCACAGGGAGAGGUGAAGGUCUCUUGUGAUGGUUCUAGACCUGGGCAACUGGAAUUAUUGUUAGGACAGUGGCCAGAGAUAGAAAGGGCAAGGAUCCUGUGUAGUUCAUUGUCUCUAUAACCCCACAUUUGUAAAAGUUUGAAUGAAAAAAAGAAAGUGAAGAAGUGAGUUCAGGAUCAGGUGUUCAUUUGAAGAGAUUUGAAGAUUAUUUAAGAGAAAAUGACUUCCAGACAGAUAUGUAGGAAAAGGUCAAAGAGUAGUGACCAGAGCUUUCUAGAACCAUGUUCUGUUACAGUAUAGAAAAAUGGAGUUUUGGAAAGAAAGUUUUUGAUUCAUGGGUAUGAAACCCAAGUUUUACAGAUUACACAUAAUGAGUUGUUAUCCAGUUUUAACAUUUGUUUUUCCACAAUGGCCAAGGCAUUGAUUGAUUGCACGUGCAUUUCAAAAUUGUUCUGGGGCUUACGUUAGAAAGAGAGCAGAGGGAAAUCUUAGCCCAAUAUGGUCCUUGUUACUUUGCACUAAUGUAUUGGGCGUUGGGGCUGUUCUUUUGAUUUGCUGAGCUUUGCCAUUAGUGUUGACACUGAGAUAUCAAAGGUACCCCUGUAAAAGUUCUGUUUUUAGGCAAUCAAGAUAAAACUUUUAAGAAGGUAACUUAUGCGGUUUAAUAGCUUGGUUAAUAAAGUUGGCCUUUAUGCAGUAUAACCCCCUGAGAACCAGUUGAAUGUGAAGGAAAGAGUGAGGGUUUCAGAGCAAGUUGAACUUGGAUUUCAAUUUGUCUCCACCACUUAAUAAUCUUCCGCUCUGGACAGGUUACUUAACCUCUCAUUUCACUUUAAAAUGCUGAUUUUUCUCUCUCAGAAGGUUAUUGUGAUGUUGCCAAUAGUGUUUGUUUCACCAGAUAUUCAACAGGCCUUGGCACUUCACGGGUACCUAGUGCAUGCUAACAUAGUUACAGUUCUCAGGUUACUAGUCUGUAUUUUUACAUCACUGUCCAUAGUGUUACUGAGGGGUAUUAAAAAUGGUGGCUGCUGUCCUUAUUUUGGAGAGUGGAAUGAAGAUUGUGACCAAAAAAUUAUUCUGGAAUUAAUAUCUAGAAGUUUAGUUUGCCUCACCUCCUGGGGUUUCCAGAAAUUUAAUGUGGGAGAAACUUUGAGGUUGAGUAAAAGAGAAUGAAUUCAUCCUGGGUUAAAAUACCAGCUCUGUCUUAUAGUCAUAUGACUUUGGGGAGUGCUUUAACUUUUGAGUCUGUGUUUGCAAAAUGUGCUUGUGGUACCAACAUUGAAUGGAUAUUGUGAGGAUCACUGGAGAAAACUUGUCUAAGGAAUUGAAGCCCAAGAGAGCCAGGAAUAGAUCUGGGGAAAAGUGGUUGAAAACAAAGCAGAAUGACCAGGCCGGUACUAAAUUUUUUAGGCGUUUCUGGCAUUAUUACUCCUGAAGUUCCAAAAUAAAAAAAGAGGGGAAGGAAGGUAUUACUUAUUGAUGGUUUUUAAGAUUGGUGAAAUUCUGAUUCAUAAAAAAUAAUGCAUUUGAUUAUGAAAUAAACUGUGGAUUAUUAAACAAUUUAUUAACUUGUUACCGAAAAUAUUUAAGGUGUAGAUAUAAGCUUGAGGGCCUAGAGAAUGAGUCUCAGGAAAGGAUAAGAGGUAAAGGUGUGCCAGUCAAUUCCUUCCCAUACCCACAUUGUCCUUUUCAGUAAGGGGGAUCUACCUUAUUUUUUUGUGGGGGGUGUGUGAAUGGUUAAAUUAGUGGGAUUUUAAAGUAUUGAAAGAAACCAAACAAGUGAAAUUACUUUUUAAAUCCACAGAAACCUUGGAAAAUCAUCAAACAUUAUACAUAUGAUGAAGGUACAUUAGUUUCUGCUUGUGUUUCAACCAGGAACAAGAUUUAAAAUCAGACUAUCAGGAUAAGAACAAACGAAUAAGAGUCUAUUUGUGCUAAAGACAGUUUGAAUGGCAAAUCUCAGUUGUGUGAGAAGACAUAAUCUUUUGGGUAUAUUUAAUGCAAAAUGGACUAAGUUGAGAAGGAAAUUGUUUUAAUAGCCUGGGUGUUGCCUGAUAAUCUUAAAGCUCUGGUCUUCAUAGUGGGUCACACACAGUGAUAAAAUAAACUGACUUUGUCUUGCUGUUUGUGAGGGGCAUCUAGAAGACUCCCGCCUUCCUAGGUUCAUGAAUAUGACUGACCCAAGAAUCCCUGGUUAGUAUCAUCUGAGUUAUGAGUUGGAAUGAGCAGUUCUCUGGGUUUUGCUGGUAGGAAUUAGUCGUGUAAAGGAAUCUGGCCUUGGGAGAAAGAGGACUGCCUUUUUAAGAUUAAAAAUGGAAGUGCAGUUUUUUUUUUUUUAAUAAUUUCUAAGGGAAAAAGCAUUAGUACUACCAAGGGUGAGCUGGUUGAGACAGCAGUGAGAAUUGCCACUCACAGCAUCUAGCUCCUUAGCUAGCCUUUCCCACUCAGAAAUAAUUAUUUCAAACUGAGCAGCAUUUGCAGAGAGUUCUGGAACAGCUUUGUCAGCUUUAGGAUGUGUGAAAACCGCUCAAGAAUAAACCGUAAAAGUAGAUUUUGGAAAUUAAAAAAAACAAAACAAAACAAAACUGACAGCUCUUCCAAGGAUGUUUUGAUGUGUAUGGGUUUAUUAACAACAGUUUACUAAAAUACAGAACAGGAAAGUUGGGACUGCAUCUGCUUUUUCCAGCCCCCUCCUAUGUGUCUUGCUCUGAUAGAUUUGUCUCCUCCGUUACCGUAGAGCUGCUCAUUGGUAUUCCUCAGUGUGAGGUGUUGCCAUGAACAUCCUCAUAAUUACAUUGAACUAGAGAAUCUUUACUUCUAGGCCUUGAUCAAGCUCAGGGGCCUUUUCCCUUUUAUGUGGCAGCUUUAAUUUUGUACAAAAAUGACAACCACCGUCCCGUGCCUUUUGUCUCCCUGGCAGGGUGGCCAAGCAGCUACCUUCGCACCUGAUGCAAUUACUAAUCUGUUGCCCUUCCCAAGAAGGCAGCACUGGCUGCUGUCCCCCACUCCAUGGGACUGCAAGCAUCAUUUUUUAUGUCUGUCCUGCACACAGGCUCUGACUGCCCUGGGCUUCUGCUCUCAGUUACCAGGAGGUAUUGUGCAUUUUUCAGAGGAGAAAAACCUUGCUUUCAAGAUCAUUCCCACUGUCCCAACUUAGGUCUUUGCUUCAAAGGUAGGGUGUUGCCUGUGCCCACAAUAGUUUCCCCAACCCAAGAUAAGUCUCUGUGGUUGCUCCCAGGAGAUGUGAUUGUAAAUGCAGGGCUACGUGCUAAUUACUUUCUUAGGCAUCUUGGUAUAACAGUGUGAGAAUUGGCUCUUCAGAAUCUGGUCAAUGAAACAAAAUUACUUUUAUCCUGAAUUUUGCAAGGCAAAAAAAAGACAUUAAAUUAAUUACAUUUGAAUCAUCUUCAUAUCCAUCAAUUACUGCAGUGAUUUUGGGGGCUUAGAUUAAUGUGUGUUGUAGAUGCAAUUACUCUCUUUUUGGAUCCCAUAGAUUAAAUUCACUGAAAGAUUCCCCUGGAGAUGCUUUAGCUGUACUUUGCCUGUAGCUUCUCUUCCAUGGAAUCCGUUUCAAGUUCAAAUACAUUUUGUCUGAUAAAUUGACUACAUAUGGAGGGACUAAAGAGAGCAAUUAAGUAUGACAUCAAAUAAAUGACUCAGUGACAAGGUAUAUUCCAUUUAGGUCAGUGUAAUUCAGAAUGUGAGAAAACAUGAUUUAACUGGCUGGACUGAAGGAUGGUUUAAAUUAUGGGAUGGGGAGAAUCACUUUGCAUUCAGAGGUUUGGUAAUUGGAGGUGUAUAAUAUUUAUUGUGUUUGCUGUGGGAAGAUGCUGUUGAAAGACGGUUGUAGUUGUUUACGUGCAGCUGUUUAAUUGACAUUGUGGGGGUUUGGUCUAAUCUUUAUGCGUACUAUGAGUUGCUAUUUGGUAGAUGAGGGUGAGUGGGUGAUGUGUAGCUGAGGCCCACUAAACCAUGAUAAACCGAUGUGUUUUCUCUUUAGACAGUUAACUGGAUUAGAGAGGGGGCCUUCUGUAAUUGGUUGUGGUGUUCUGCCUAAUUCCUUACCACCUCCUUUUAGAAGUUUGUGUCCACCACUUUGCCAUGUGACUUUGUAGGACCUUCUGUGAGGUGAAGAACCAUUGCCACACUGAUACUGGGCAUGGCCAUGGGACUCAUGCUAGCCGGUAGACUUUGAGCCGACAUGAUGCCAGCAGAGGUGCUUUAGCUUGGCUUCUGGUGCUCAUACUGCCCUCUGUGAGAGAGUGUUCUAGGGAGCUGCUGGUCUGGAGCAGAAAUGAACCCACCUUGAAAUGUAGGGUUAAGUAGGCUGUGAUGGAUAACUUGUGAACUCAUAAGCAAGAAAAGUAAAUGUGGAUUAUUAUAAGCCACUGACUUUGGAGAUAGUUUGCUUGGCAGUAUAAUCAUGGAAAUAGUUUAUACAAGUGCAUAUUAAAAAUUCUUCUGUCUUUGUAAGAAUGUCAAUGGGAUGAACAAGCUCCUUUUACAUUCAGAUCCUUUUUUCCACCCUAUCAAGACAUGGAUGUCAUUCAUACCUUGGUGGUAUCCUUUGGCUAUGACGCACCUAAUUGACGGUGCCUGGGACACGUGUAAGUCCUAGCUGCAGGGGAGUUUGAGAGUGAAUUUCCAACUUCUACCUUGGGGAAGCAAGACUUAAAAAAAUGUGGAAAGUCAACAAAAUGUGGGAAGGGUGUUCAAAAGAUGCGAGGUUGUCAUAAAGCAUGAAAAAUGUCCAUAUAAAUUGCUAAUGCAUGUAUCUUAGAAUGAACUUUUAGUUACUAUUAAUUAGUAUAGUAAUUAAAAAAGGUAAUUUAUCCUAUUUUUUAAAAAAAUGAGUAUUAGUAUAAAAUAACAACAAUAAACCCAAUAGAAACUGUGAUCUUACGGGUAUUUAUUUUCAACUGGUACUUUAUUCAAAAUAUUCCCAAAAAGUAAAUAGCAAGUAAAUUUUUUCCCUUUGUAUCAAAAUCUUAUUGAUUUAGAUUCCAUUUACUCAAUAUUUGUGAUAAUAAACUUGACUAAGUUGGUUUAUCAGUUUCACAAUAUGGCAGUGUUUAUAACGCCAAGUUAAACUCUCAAACUUUAGCACCCUCUAAAGUUAUAGAUGGAAUAUAAAGUUAUAUUCCAUUAUAGAUGGUCCUCCUAAAUUCAACAUUCUCCAUUUCUUGUUAAGUUAAUAGCAUUGUUUGAUUUCCUUUAGGGUUUGACAGUCAUAAAUGUACCUCUAAAAGUCUUCUAUAUAAAUUCUUCAUUAAGUCAGAGACCCAAUUCCCCAUUUAGGUAAUAGGAAUAAAGUCUAGAACAUUUCAUUUGCUGCAGAGAAAAUUGUUAAAUGAACUAGUGUGAAAUAUCCCAUAUCCCUCUGUGCAUUUUGUAUAUUAAAUUAUAGCUCUUGCAUCCCUGUAGAGAAGAGCUGUCAAAUGUCAGAGUUUGUGUUAGAGAUACAAAUUUGUUGUGUGGAGCACAGCUUGAUUGAUGGACAGCAUGCUUGGAGUGUGCAUGUUUGUGGACUGAGUAGAGGGGCAGGGGGUGGUGUAGCAUAGGAGAGAAUAGAAUCUGGAGAGGUUGGAGCAGUCAGAUCAGGAAGCAGGAGGGCAGAGGGGGUUUCAGAGCAAUCAGAAACUAAUGGAUUAUAUACUGAAUGUGGUAAGAAGUGGCAAGUAUUUUUUUCUGGCCAGAGAAGUGAGAUUGAAAGAAAACAGUUAUUUUACUAGGCUGGCUAACCUGGAUCUGGUGAGCCAUUUUAACUUGCAUCAAUUUUUUAUCUACUAGUGUCAGUUUGAAGAUUUCUUAGGCCUGAAGGUGUCUUAGUUCAGGCUGCUAUAAUAAGAUACCAUAGACUGGGUAGUUGAAACAAUAUUCCUUACAGUUCUGGAAGUUGGGAAGACCAAGAUCUGGGUGCCAGCACAUCUGCUUCCUGGUUUGCCGAUGGUGUCUUCUCUUCUUAUCUUUAGUUGGGGUAGGGUAGCAGGGAGUUAAGGCAUGUGUGCACAAGGGAACUAUAGAAAUCUGUUCUCUUCUUAUAGGGAUACCAAUGCCAUUCGUGAGGGCCUCACCCUCACAAUCUGAUCACUCCCAAAGGCCCUACCUCCAAGUACCUAAGAUUAGAAGAUUAGGCUUUAACCUAUAAAUUUAGGGAGUACAUAAACAUUCAGUCUACAUAUUGAGUAUUGUUACAUUCCAAAGCAGAGGAUUUUAACUUUUGGUGAGCCAGGGAUGCUUUCAGAAGUUUGAAACGUUUGUCUGCUUUUUUUUUUUUUUUUAAUGUUUUUAAUUGCAUAAAACACAGUGGGUCAUGCUGAAAUACAAUAUAUUAAAAUAUAUAUAGUCUACCAGCUCAGGGGCAGAACUUGAAGAACUUGUGCUUAGCUAUUGUGCGGGGCCCUGGGUUUGAUUCCUUAGCACCACAAGCCAAAACAGAUAUCCCUAACAACUGCUUUGUGAUAGAAAAUGACCUCUGAUGUUUGUCAAUGUUAAGGGCACAGGUUCUGCUAAUACUUUAUCAAUACUUGGCAGAAGUGUUGAAGUUCAUUUAGAAGUGAGCAAAAACAAAGAUGCCCCCCUGUUCUCCAUCUGAAUUCAGGCAUACUCUCUGAAUUCUUUCUCACAAGCCCACCUUCAAGCCUGCAGCCCUCAGGGUAAGGACCACUGCUCUACAGGACUGACCAAAUGUCUCCUGAGCAGGUGAUCCUCUAUGGAAGGGGAUUCCCUCAGUUGUAAUGGUUGUGCACAAGUGUCUGUGUAAGUGUGAUUCUAGUACUGUGAUUUUCAUUGAUCAAACUAUCUGUGUCUCUGCCGGUCCUUCACUAUGGCUGUAUCAUACUCGGGCUACCCAGUCAGCAGUUCUUUCUCCUCUGUCUUCUCACACUUCAGGGAUUUAUAGCUUCUUUUUCUUCUUUGUUCUUCCAUAUAAAUUGCCAAAUUCUAAAAAACAAUCUGUUGGGAUUUUAUUUGGAGUUAUAUUGAGUGCAUAUAUCAAUUUGAGGAAGAACUGACAAGCUUUUUGAGUUUUUAAGUUCAUGAAGAUGGUAUAUAUUCUCAUUUAUUUUGGUGUUCAGGUACUGCUCAUUAAGAUGAAAACAUAUUUUGAAUGAUCAUCUUUGAAGGUCUCUUCUACGAAAACAAAAAACUUCCCCCCAAGUAAAGCCGAUUAUUCUUUUUUAACCUAGGUAAGUUGGGAGAAAUAGUGCUUUUGAGAAGAUUUUGAUGGCCUCAAGCAAUGAGUACUUAUUAUGCACACACUUCCCGAGAUUGCAAAUCUUCUGUUCAUUUGUAUUAAAGGCACCACUUUAGAAAAUUGGCCAUUUAUUUAAAUAAGAGAUAAACUAGAUUCUGGCAGCUUAAAAUUCUUAAAGCAUUUGCUGUAAUUUCAUAAAGAGAAUAUUUAGUAUGAAACAUCUGAGCAGUCUAAAUUUAAGCAGACAAUUUUAUUUAUUCAUUCAGAAAAUAUUUAUUGAGUAUCUAAUGUGCCCCAGGCAUGUCUCUAGAUUCUGGGAUGCAGCCAAGUGAAGAAAGUGAUUUAAGGGGGAUGAGGUUGUCUUCGCUAAAAUGCUUCUGAGAAGUUGAUGGCUGAGAAUUGCCCCUGGAUUUAGCAACAUGGAGUUCACUGGUGACUUUGCCAAGAGUGGUUUCCAUGGUGUGGUCGCACAAAAGUCUGCUUGGAAUGUGAUCAUCAAGGAAGUAAGAAGUCAAAGCUGUAAAUUCAGACAACUAUUGAAAUAGUUUUUGCUAUAAAGACCAACAGAGAGACAGCGUUUUGGGUGACAGAGUGUAAGGAGCAUCUGCCAUAAACAUGCUGAGACAUGCUGGGACUCACUAAGUUGCUAACCACAAGGAACAGUAGCCACUGGACUGCUUAGUCAUUUCUGCUUGCAGUUGAUAAGGAGCUGUAAGGGGCACUAGCCAUAGGUAUGCUUAGCAAUGACUGGUUACAGUUGAUAGGGAGCACAGCUCCGUGGACAUGGGCAAAGAACAUGUCCAGUUGCAAUUACUUCACCUCAAUGGACAUAACCAAUGGACAUUGACUUUUACUGGGUGUAACCAAUCACCAAUGUACACCACCAACUUGGAACUGUAUUUAAAUUGCUUGUCCUGCCAUAUUGAAGAGUUUUGCUCCAAGGACAUUGGUAGGACUGGCCACCUUGCUGUCUGUCCCUGGACUGACUGUACCAUUCCCUGACAUCCAGCCAUCUGCUGGAGAGAACCACCAGAUAAGGACAAUGUCUGCUCUUUGGCCAAGAGAAGUCACAUGGCGUCAGGGGGAUUUUGGGGCUCGUGUUUGCCCUAGGAUUGUGUGAUUUGCUUUUGGUGUUUAAUUAGUGUGCAUUGAAUGCUAGUUGGGGUGCUCCUGCAUACCCAACUCUUUUUGUAUUAAUUAUUUACAUUUGAUGAUUGGUGUGAUCGAAUAUAUGCUUGCAUUUAAAGACAAUCUGCCUCCAAGUAAUUAUUAAUAGUGUCGCUCGAGACACAUAAUAAGCUCACAGACUAAUGGCAAGGGUCCAUUAGAGGGAGGGGGCAAUUUGAUAAUGGAAGAAAGAGGUUAAUGUUUGGUGUGCUGUGCUUUACUGGACAGUUUCAGGAGGUAUUGGACUCAGUCCACAGUGGAGGAAUUGUCCUUAGGUAGGAACCAGGACAGUUUAUUCUUUGAGUCAGAGAGAAGGCAGAGGCCUAGUAAAAUUGUGUGUGUAUAUAAAUGAGGCUUUUUCUCCCUGAAUAUCCCCUUUCCAUGGUGAAAUAAAAAUUAUAUGGUUAUACUGUACAUUUGGAACAAUCUCAAAUAUGCACACAGCUAUGCAGGUAUUAGAAAUUCUCAGAGGGACAAGGAACUACCAUAUAGUACUGCCUCUGAUGGGGACCCCUCAUUUAGUAAUAGGACUACUUGUUGUUGUUCAUUUCCCCUUGUAGGGCCCAUUCUUCAUGCUUGUGAUGCCAACAGGUGCAGAAUAUGUAAAUAACCUGAAGGGAUGUGUAUUUAAACUUUCAGUUUUUGCAUAACUACUUUUAAAACAGCAAUAGUGGAAAUAAAAGUCCAAAAUUAUUUAGGGACCCAUCUUCUAAGGAUAUAGUGCAUCUAUGUUUUGAUUUUUCUUUUAAUAUGCAUAGAUGCUUUUUUCUUUUAAACAUCGUUUCCAUCGCAGCUCACACAUACCUUUGUAUUCAGUGGUACUUCCUGUCCUGCUUACUGGACGUUUGCCUUGGACCAGUACUUGUAGAUUGUGGAAUAUGUUUUGGAGAUGGAGUUUUAAAUUUUUUUUAUUGUCAUCAGACUUUUUUCAUGACUUAUGGACAUGUCUGAAUAACUGAACUGAGGACCAGGAUUCAAGGAGAAAUCUUGCUGAUUAUCCUGACAUUUAAUUAGCAGCUUAGAUGAGGUUUCAUGAUAAUAAAGUUAAUCCAUGCUUCGAUAUUUCUUGUGGGAGAUAACCUUAGUAGAGUAUUAAAGACUCUGAGUUUUAAAAAAAUACACUUUUUGAACAGAAUACUUUGCAGGUAAGUGUAGAAGGCUUGCCUUGCUUCCUUGCCUCCUAUACUUGGAGAUGGAUGCACUUGAGAUUGAAGACAUUUUGGAAAUGGGGAACAUUCUUCUCUUUCUCUCUCUCUCUCUCUCUCUCUCUCUCUCUCUCUCUCUAGUGCAUAAAAACCAAGGCUUCCUUUGGCAUGGUAAGGAAGGGAUGUGUUGAGCAAGUGCUUAGGAAUGAAUGGCAGGAGAUUUCCCAGGGCUUCUUUUAUACCCUUGUUAUGGUUGGGAUAUGGUUUGAGUGUGUCUCAAAGGUUUAUGCACCAUAUACUUGGUCCCCAAUGUGGUGGUAUUGAUGUGAUGGAGCCUUUAAGAUAUGGGUCUUUGAGGAGUGUGGUUAGGUCAUGGGUCUCCCUCCCUUGGAAGAGAUUCAUGCUGAUCUUGUAGAUAGGAUUAGUUCCUGUGAGAACGGAUUGUUAUAAGGGAGACAGGCAUCAGAAAGCCCUUAUGAGAGCCCAACUAGGGUUGGCUCCAUCCUCUUGGACCUCCAAACUGUGGGCUAAACAAACCUUUUUAUUUUGUAAGUUACUCUGCUUCAGGUAUUUGUGACAGCAAUACAAAACUAAGACACCCCUAGGAUGAAAAGGGGACCCCAGCUUAUAGAAUGCCUCUAGUUCUUCUCUUUUGUAGCUUAACAAAAUUUAAGUUCAGAUUUUUGUAGGGUAAAAACUUUCAUUGUCAAAACUUGAUGAAACAAGAAUACACUUCUUGGGUCAAAUGGAAAGUUUUUUUAAAAAAUUUUUGUAACAGUUUUCUUCUUUCUAGAAAUAAUAUUUUUUGUUCAAUAUUUUAUCUUGUUCUACAUGAAAAACAACAUUCCAGUUCACUAAAUUAUUUAGUUUUUUCCCCUGGACCUUUUCAAAGAAACUGACAACUAUAUUCUUCUGAUAGCAUAGAAACAAAUUUGUUAUUAGGUUGAAAUAAUAUCAGGGUGGUUUGGUUUAAAAUGAGGAUGGAAAUCAAUGAAGCUUACACAAGCUUGAUAUUAAAGUUUUACUAUGUGUUCUUUGUGUACCUGUUUUUAAUAUAAUCUUUUAGAAGUUUGAAGAGUUGUUUUUUUUUUAAACUAAACUUCUGUUGGAGUUUUGGAUGUUUGCCUGGAAAAUUUCAUUAUUAGAAAGUGCUCUUUCCCUUUCUUUAUAGGUUUUGAUUAAAAAUUAAUUAUUGAGUGAGCUGUUUAAUAUUUUUACCUUUUGAUAAACUACAUGGAUUUACAAAAUAGAUAAAUUAGAGUCAAUGACUUUCUCUUUAAGAAAGCAAUUGCUGUAGAAAAAUUUUAAAUCCCAGCUCCCUGAGGCAUUUAAAAUAGGACUUGAUUAACUAAGGUGCAACUCAGAGUCAACUGUAAGAAACCAGUGUUUCUUAGUGCCUGAUAUGUUCAAGCAUUUCCCCCUUGUUGUGUGUAUCACGUGUAGCUUUCCUCUGGAGUGUGUCAUGCACAAGGUAAGUGGAUAUGUCUCAUUAGUUCAUGGCUGGGCGGCUCAGUUAGCUUGGCCAUUAUAUUAAUGAGGCCAAGUUUGGGUUCUGUCCCUGGACAGGCCAAUUACUUUAAAUGUUCUCUUCCCCAUACGCAAUUCCACUGCAAAACUUAUUCAUUAUGAAUACCUGUGAAAAUUAUUUUGGACACAACUCUUUGCAAUUUGAGAACAACUAAUAAGUUUAUUGCUAUAGAGAACUGGAAGGAUGAAGGAUAGAGGAUUUCCAUGUUCAGUGUUACGGCUAACUAAGGAUUAAUCAGGAAGCUUCCUUUGCUUCACUGAUGAUUUUUAAGAAUAAUUUUAAAAUGAACCAAGUCAUAGUUGAAGUUCAGUGCAUACUUUUGUGUUAGCUUACUGAUUUUAGGUUUAUUUGAUGAUUAUUAUAAACUGCCUCAGGAUAAUUGUUUUCACCAUCUUUCUCUAGAUAUUUUAUGAAAAGGUCUCUAGAUAAUUUUAUAGAACAAGUCAUAAUGUCGUAAUGUUCUAUGAGACCCACAGAGAUUAACUAAUUUAAUUUUCUCACCUUCUAAGUAAGGAGACACACUCUUCAGAGAAGCUGCUAGGGUCUUGCCACUGGAUGUUUGGUUCAGUUCAAAGUUUGGAAUCGAGAGUUUUUUUUUUUUUUUUUUUCCCUCACCAAAUUGUCUACUCCCUGCUUCUGUUGCCCCAGAGCAGGGUCUUUGCCCACCCUAUUAUAUCACUCUCCAAUAUUACCAUUUUCUUUAUUGAAAUUAGCUUAUUGUCAAAACAUCAAAUGAGUGUUCCUAGGUCUUCCUGUGAUCCAUUUUAACACUAAGUUUAUUAUCCAUCUGCUGAAUCCAUGUAAAACAUGGCAUUGUUAGGAGAUGAUUGCCCUAAUAUCAGAAUAUAUCUAUUGUCCCUUUUCUCUUGGUUGCGGGGGCGGUUAUCAGGAAUUGCACUCAGGGGCACUUGACCACUGAGCCACAUCCCCAGCCUUAUUUUGUAUUUUAUUUAGAGAAAGGGUCGCACUGAGUUGCUUAGAGCCUUGCUUUUGCUGAGGCUGGCUUUGAACUCCUGCCUCAGCAUUCCAAACCGCUGAGAUUACAGGCAUGUGCCACCUGCCCCGCUUCUCUUUUCUCUUUAAUGGACAUUUCUAAACACAAAUAUCAUUGAAAUAUAAAAGUUCAAGUUGGUGAGAGAAAAACAAAAUUAGUGAGAAAAGAUUCUUUUUUUUUUUUUUUGAGGAGAAGGGGAUAGUAACUUUCAAAUACCUAUAUUGUGUUAAGGGAUGAAAAGAUAUAAAUGAGACACUUGUCAGAUCCUGUUAGGAAUUUGGCACAAUGGAGAAAAUAUCUUUCAACAGAAAUCUGAAAUCCGUAGGUAUAUACACCUAAAUCACAGUUAUCUUGUUUUCAAUCUUCUUAGGAAAUGAUUCCCUCCUCUGGAAAUAGUUUUAAAAUGACAUUCUGAUGAUAUUGCCAUUUAUUAUGAUUAAUAAGUAUGGUUAUCACUGGCAGCUUAAAUAGUAACAUCCCAGCAAAUUCUUGAAAACUACAUUUACAACUACAACAACAACAACAAAGACAAGAUACCCUUGCUAAAAUGGCUACUUCGCAUCAAUUUGUAUAGGAUCUGAUACUAGUAGUUUAUUUAUCUGUAUCUAUAUCUACCUAUGUAUCUAUUCAUUUAAUUUUACUUCUAUGCAGUAGUUUGUUGGGAACUCCUAUUUAAGGAUUUUUUUUUUAAAUGUUUAAACAGCAUUUCAUGAUUUUUUUUGUUUGGUGGGGGGGGUUCUGUAAGUAGAUGGUACAUUCUCAAGCUGUAUGCAAAUACUUUUCCAGUAUCCACUGGAAAGGAUUAUCUGAACUUCUUUUCUGUUAGUUUGGGUAAUUGAGCUUUGAUCACAAACAGCUGUGUUAUCUUAGCCCAGCAGAUGGAAGGUAUGAUACUGAGAGGAAAGUAAUCUGGAAGGCUCUAAAGCCCAUUUAGAUAUUUUAUAUGCAAACAAAAUGUAGAUGAGCACAUCAGGGCUAUUUUUGUUGUUGCUAGUGCCAGAAAUCUCAUUCAGGCUAGCAUUAGAGUUGUUGGCUCAGGUGUCUGAGGGGUCCGGGUAAAACUGGCUUCAGGACAGGCAGCCAAGCAGGGCUCAGAGGAUGUCACCAGGGCCCAGUUUCUCUCCAUCUCUCAAUUCUGUGUCUGCUGGGGUGGCCCUGUUUUCAGAUUGACUUACCUCCUGUGUUUAUAAGGUGGUUACCGUACCUUCAGCCAAAUAGUAGGUGACAGAUCUGCUGCACAGAGGCCCCCAGUAACAGAGUCACUGGGUCUCUCUCUCUCUCCCUGAUUGGAUGUUAUGUCAUGCCUGGUCCAAUCGUUGAGAUGGGGAUGCAGUACUCUGAUUGGCCAAUUCCAAGUUCUGUUAUUUCCCAUAGGCAAGAGAUGAGGAGAGCUCAGUUUACAAAAGGAAGUAAGCUGUUCCCAAAAGAAAGGGUGAUGGAUACUAGGUGCUUAAGGAAUGAAAAAUGCUAAUCAUAAUACACAAGAUAUUUUGUUUUCUACCUUAUAAAAUAAUCAUUCAAAAAUUUUGCAUUUCUUGUGACAUGCAAUAAGAUUCAUAAUAAUACUAGGAAGGGAGCCAAGAGAGUCAGAUAAACUCUUUUCCUAUAUUUGUGAAGUCAACAUCAAAAUGCUUAAAUGCUUUUUUUUUUUUUAAACAAAACAAAACAAAACAAAACAAAAAAACAAACCUGCCUUGCUGUUUAAAGCCACUUUAGACAGAAUGUCCCUCUGGUGGGAUGUAUCCUUCAAUCAGUAGGUCUGUUUUUUUUAACUUUGUGUUCUCUAGCCAGUGUUCCCUCUUAAAAAAAAAAAUUGAAACAUAAUAGUAAUACAUUAGUAGUUAAAACCAUAGUAGACAAAACCAUACUUGCAUGGAAUUUGAUUUCAGUUCCUGUUUUCUCCCUCCUCCUAUUCUCCUUCCUCUGCCUAUCUUCCUUUUUUCUUGUUUAUUUAUUUAUUUUUGAUGGGCUCUUUCUACAUAUACAUAAACAUAAAAUUCCCCAAUGGUGUAUUUAUAUAUAAAUAACAUGGUGUUGUUCAAUUCAUUCCAUAUUUCCUCCCCCUUCCUCAUACCCUCCUCCCUGUCUCUUAAUUUCCUGCUCCAUACCUUGAUCUUCCCUAUAUCUUUAUGAUAUCCCAUCCUCCCCAUUUUCUUUCCUUUAUUUUGCUCUAGCUAAAACCUAUAACCUUUGAUUUUUUUUUAAUCUUAGCCAGUGUUCUUAAGGGCUAACAAAGAUCGAGCUGGUACGUACAAAGUAAGACUGUUUUAUUUAUUUUUUGGCAAACACUGUAUAUGUCCCAGUACUUCUUGACUUACAAACUAGCUUAUAUUUGUUACUUCUUUGUUCUAAUAGGUAAGAAUUUAACGUUUUUCCAAGAUUGAUAAGAACGAUGCUCAAAACAAUCUGUUGAAGUCUCAGAGUUGCAUCCAACAAACUGUUUCAUUAAAGCUACUUCCUUAAAAUGCCACUUUAACACCCAGGUGACUUAAUUUGAUAAGGAGAUGUGGCACCAUAUUGCUCCCAGAGUUGCUCAGUUUUUACUUUUAUGAGUAGUUUCUUUGGUUACUGGUUACACUUUUUCAAACUUUUGAUAUCAUCAAGUAUCUCUUUGUGGUUUGUAGUAACCUUUUCUAGUUAUUUUAACUGAUUAAUGUCCCCUGAAGAGAAUAGAUGUGCUGACCAGUAACUUCAUACAAACAAGUUGUAUAUUCUUUGGGGUUUUACUGAUCUGUCUUAAUUUAGAAAAGUAAAAGGAUGUGGUGUUCUCAUUAGGGUAUUUAAGCCUGGAUGAGCCUUUCUUGGGAGUGGGAUUCAAAGGUCUCAAGCUGGGGGAGUGUCGGAAAAGCUGGAUAUUUAUGGUACGAUGAACUGAAAUCUAAUUUUGAGUCUGCCCUUUCAUUGGAGGGUUGCCUAGCUUAGUACGUAUUUCUUCUCCUAAUUUCUUCUGCAUUUCUGUAUUUCCAGAAGUGUUGGAAGCUUGAAGCAUUUAAACUGAAGAAAAACAGACUUAGGUUUCAUACCAUAUUUCAUUUUUUAUGUGAUAUAUUGCCUAAAACAUUCUUUUUUGGCAAACACCCUUUUUCUUAUUUGUUCCUGAGCAAACACCAGAGAGGGGCAGGGAGUUUCAGGAUGAGUUACACAUAAAAUCGAGGAUGGGUUUUUCCUUGCAUUGCUCUGCUGGAUUAGGAAAUGGAACUUCAUAACAUGACUUCGUGUAUCAGCGCAGACUGUAGUUGGCAGAGAACUUGGAAAGGUUCCAUUCUGAUGCCUUUGUUAUGUUUGCCUUUUAAGUUUCAAUGCUCACUGGAGCAGACAAACACCACUGAUUCCACAAUUUUUUUCACCCCUGGUGUGGAGCCUUUUGGUUGAUUUGAUCUCAGGCAGAAGAAUGGGAGCACCGAUUGGAUUUGGUAGAAUGAGUCUUUUAUGUUGCCGGACCUCCUCCCUUUCCUGUGGGCUAGCAGGCCAGCAGGCCUGGAGUGGCUCCCCCUUUCCUGUGGGCCCAGCUCUUUGUGUGAGCUGUUAUCCAUUUCCGUGGAUAUGGUUUGUUACCUCUAUUUGUACUAUAACUAGAAAUUUGAUAAGGUUAUGUGCCUGUCAAAUGAUUUAGAUGUCAGGUACAGAUGAAGCAAAGCAAUUUUGACAAGUCAAACAUUGGUGCAAAGGGGGUGGGGGCGGCGGGGAUGACCCGCUGGGAGAAGAAAGUAAAAUCUCUUACAGCCUCACUUUCUUUCUCUUUUAACUUUAGGUCACUACUUUAACCUCUUUAAUUUGUCCCUUCUUAAGUGAAUGUGACAUGGUGACUUCCGGCUUCUAUCUAAAGGGCAGGGAAAAGGAGGCCUGCCUUUGGAGGAGAGGCGCUGGCAUUUAGGAAGGUUUGACACUGGGUAUUCUGAUAAAAGCAUCCGGGCCUGGAAACUGUGUCUGUGACUGAAGCUGAGAUUAAGGUCUGAGGGGACAGGGUUUAUUAAUGCCAGUGUCUGUUCACAUGUGUGUCUUACAGAGAGUCUCGUAUAUUUGGUAAGCUCUGCUCCUUGAUUUUAGGAAUAGGUAGGGGCUUGGUGCUUUGUGGCACAUAUUUGGUUGGUAUCCUGUGUUUUUGUCCAGGCAGUGACUUGAUGAGUAUCAUUGAAUGACUUGUCUUGUUGUCCAUAGGAUGAGGAGUCAGUAGGGCCUCUUGAUUCAUUAGAUCUAAGUUUCUUAGAGCACCCCCAUCAACCCUUUUUUUUUUUUUUUGAAGUGAUUAAAUAACACCUCUGAGCUUUCCCAAUAUCUAAAUCUCUUUACAGCCCACACUAAAUAUAUAGAUUAGCUUUGGCUGCUAUCUCAGCAGAAAGUUCCUCAUUUUGCUGGUGAUGGGUUGGCCAGUAGUGGCCCUAGUAAAGGUUAAUGUGGCCACAAGAUGCUGCUGGAGUCUGAGGGGGACCUCUAGUCUUGGGUACUGCAUUUUGUGUAGUUCAGUAAUGGAUGUAGGUUUUUGAGCAUAACUUGUCUCAAUAUGGGUUUCAGUAUAGUCUGAAGGCACAAUUCAAAGAAAUAACAAAUUUACAUUCAGGGUAGUUUUGUUUGAGUUUAUUUAAAGAACUGAAACACACACAAUCCUCAUAAUAGCUUCUGCUAUUGAUAUAUUGAUGGUGCUGACAAAGAGAAAACUCAGACCAGAUGGUUUCCAAACAGUGGGACCACCUGGCUCAUUGGCAAUGCCAACUUACUCCUAUUUCUCAAAUAGCUGUAUUCUCCUAGAUGUCGAGAUGUCUGAGUGAGAUGUACAUGGGCUUAGAUACAGGAUUAGCAGCAGAGGUAGAAACACCAUGUUAACCUCAAACUGGCCCCUCUCUCCCACAUCUAUUAUCUACAAAGUACCAUUUUUUUUCUUCUUUUUCUUUUAACUAUGAAAUCUGCAUUACCAAGAAAAAUAAAAUCUCCUCUUGAGACGUUUAUUCUGGAAAGAAAAGAAAGGCUCUAAAUCCUUUUGGGAAACUGACUCAGAAAUUGAUUCAUCUGGACCCCGUUAGUAUCUUUUGAUGAAGGAUUCAUUUUAGGUCGGCAAGAGAAUAAUAUAAUUGCACCUGUAACACCAUAAAUUUAUACUGAAUCUCACAACUUGGCACUUAAUGUAAUAUAUUAACCAAUGUAUUAUGCAAUAGCUUUUCUAGUUAUAACAUUAAUGUAUCUAAUUUUCCUAUUGAAAAAUCAUAGUUUACAUAAAAGUAAAAAUAUUGAAUUAACCUACAUACUUUUUGAAGUUGGUGCCUUAAGAUUACAAUUAUUGUUAAGUUUCAUUUUAAAAUCAUUACCUUAGUAACUAACUCAUUUGAUGCAUAUCGAGUAUCUCAUUGGUAGUAUUUGUAACCAUUAAAGAUUCAAUGAUGAUUAAUGUAUGUAACAUGUAAGAACAGUUAAAAAUUAUUUACAAUCUUGAGUACACUGCUGUUUAAAAUUGAGUCUUUUUAAAGAAAUAAGGGAAUAUUUUCAUCAAAACUAGGUUUCAAUGUAAGUGACAAUCUUGGAUGUUUACAAGAUGAUUGAAUUGGCAUCUUGAAGCAUGAUAGGUUGGGAGAGAAACGACUGUAAGCAGAUCUGGGUUUGAAUUAUAGUCUUUGGGCCUCAGUUCCCUGUAUUAGUUGGAAUUCUUGGCUGUAAGUGAUUGGAAACCCAACCCUCAUUAACUCAAACUAAGUGGUAAUUCAUUUUGAGGAUAUUUGAAUACAAAAUCCCAGGGCAGGAAUGUGCCUGCUAGUUGAUACCAGGAUUUAAUUGACACAAGGCCUGAACUCUCUUUUUCUGGUAGAUGAGCUGCAUCUAACCCUCUGGGUUCUGUUGGUGGCAAGCAAUGGCUGUUGAUCAUUCCAAAGACUUGUAUCUUACACUUUAAGUUUCCAGAGGAAGAGUCUCACGGUACAUUUUAGGUCCCAAUCCCCAAGUCUCCCAGACAUCUUGACUUGAACUACUUCAGGCCAGAUGAUUACCUCUGGGCCAAUCCAUGGUGGUUAAGGAAGUGGGUCAUGUAAGAAAAUGGUGCUUCUUGGGAAAGAUUAGAUAGAUUGAGGGAGGGAUAGGAGGGAGGUGUGGGGUGGACCCAAUAAUAGAUUUCCUAUAUAUUUUUCAAUGUAAAAAAUGGCCAAAUAUCUCUUAUAAUAAGGGUGAUCUUGAAGAUGAAGCAAGAAGAUUUGUCAAGUACUUAGUACAAUGUCUGAUACCUUUAGGUCUUCAGUAAAUCAUAACUGCUAUAACAUAGCAGGGAAGAGACAUACCAGCAUCUCUUAAAACUGACACUAUAAUCAAUGUGAAGCUCUCAUUGUUAGCUUAAGAUGCCUGAGAAGCCAUAAUUCCUCACCUGAUUCUUCAGCGUUUCUAAUAUAUUCAUUUUAAUAGUUUCUCUCCCGUGGAAGAUCUGAAUUAGUAUUUUAUUUCUAGUUGUAACAUAGAUUUUUUUAAUAACCUGUAGAAAUUUCUGGGAGACUUAUAUUUUAGAUGAAAUUUUGUAUUAAGGAAAUAAUCUUUUCAAUUUUUUUGAUGAAAAUGACUUGCUGAGAUCCAUGGUUUUUUGUGUGUGGUGAAUGCUAUCAAUCAUAGAAGCUAUUUUAGUAUUGUUUGUAUAUACAUUAGUUAUAAUGUAUUUACUUUUAUAUUUGCCUUCUUUCUUUUUCAUUUUUGUUGUGUUACACAUUUUUUUUUUCCCCUUCAGUUUCGUAGAAGUGGAAGAGGUAUGUUUUCUUUUUGAAAAACAGUCGGUGUUUGUCUGGGUAAUGCCAUCACAGGUGUGGGAGAGCUGUUAGGAACAGUUUUAAUGACAUUAUCAAUCUGUUAAGGAGCAAGCAUAUGUAAGAAAAUUGAAGAAUCGUCUGUCACUUUCAUCUGCUAUGACACUUUGAGAUUAAGGACAGGUUAUUUUCAUUUUGUGACUGUUUUGGGUUAGUUUAGCUCUGUUUGUGUACAGUGCUGAUUUAUCCUUAUUUCUUUUCUUCAUAGUUGAGAUGUAGCUUCUUUUCUGAAUUACUAAUUUCCUAAUCAGUUGUUUCCUAGCUGGAAACUACUCAUUUCCUAAUACUUUAUAAUUCAAAAUAGGCACAUAAGAAUGUUCGCUGUUUUUCUGUCCUUAAUUUAACCUUACAUGAUACUUCUGAUUCAAAUAAUUUUAAUACAUUCUAGUCUGUGUAUGAAUUAAGCUAUUUAUAUUUAAAAGCCACACUCAUGUCAUAAGAUGUGAGAGGAGCUUUCUCUAAAGGAUUAGUGGUGAAGAGAACAUGUUUGUCCAGGAGUCAAAAUUCAUAGAUGUCUGAAUUAUUAAAUUCUAUUUGUGACAUUCUUGGUGAAAAAUAUGAAUUAAAUCUGUAUAAUGUAGGUAUGAUUUUUUUUGCUGUGAAUCAAUAUUUUCAUCAAUAUUGUAAUUUUGGCAGUGCUUUCUCCAGCCUGAUCUUCAUUAAUUGAAAUUUUAUAUAACCAUUGCCUUAAAAAAACUAUCUAAACAACAUUUUUUUGGUGAAGUAUAGUUUGUGUUAAUUUUUACUUUGGGUAAUUAUUUUUGUUACUUUCAUGGCACCAUAGGAUUCAUUACAAAUAAUGAAUUAGUUAAAAAUUUAAGAUGCAUCAGUCUUUGGAUAUCCUCUACUAAGAAAUAUUUAAUCAGUUCCACUUUCUUCUCUGCUUGUUUAUGGGGUACUCUUUCUAUCUUGUGUUCACUUUGAUAUUUUUCACUUUGCCACUUUUUUUUUUUCAUUGUCAGAUAAAGUGAAAGAUAAUGUCUGGGAAGUUUCCAGAGUGAUGAUGCCCCUCCUUAGCUUUGUGACUUCCUCUAAGUUCCUUUAUCUCUAAGAUGGGCCACAAUGCGUACCUGCCAGGAUUUAUGUCAAGAUACUAUUUGUAAAGAAAAUUUACAUUUUUAAAAAUUUCCUGUAUUUAUUUAUAUUCUAUUUUGAUCCAAAGAAGACGGAAGGAACUUCCAUCUGCAGAGAUGGCCUGGUGCCUGCAUGGGCUAGAGGCGUGUUCUCUAGGUAUUUGGUUACCAUGACUGAGGAAACUCACGCCUAAGGUAGUGGAGUGGUGAGCACUUCUUACACACCACCUGCUGGCCUUCCCAUCCUGGCUCUGCUCCACAAUAUGGAAAGCACUCAGUAUAGGGCCUGGAACCAAGUAGAUGCUUAAUAAAUGUCAGGCAUUAUAACCCUCAUCUGGUUUAAUCUCACAAAAGGCUAUAAAUGUUGCAUUACAUUUAUGCGUAUUUUGUACUUGAGAAAACUGAAGCUCAAAAAGAUUAUGUAACUUACCUAGGGUCACAAAGCUCAUAAGUGGUGAAACCAGAGCUCAAGAUGAAUUUGUCUGAUUCCUGAACCUGUGCUGUUAACCACUAAGUUACACUUGAGUGUCUUAGAUGUGAUUUUUUAAUUAUCUAAGCUGAUUGAGAAAUUAAUUAAAAUAUGCUUUCCUUGGUAGGUAGAAUAUUUGUUUAGAACAAAAUGUAGACCUCACUAUUUUUUUUUUAUGAAAGAACCCUAAAUCUGAUAAAAUUGGGUUGUGAAUACACAUGGAAACCUGACAAAUUUGUAAAUAUCACUAAGUACCUCUAUGAAUGUAAUGGAAGGCUAAUUUAAGGCUUAGAAAUCUAUGGAGAUUAUUUUUAAUGCUUUUUAAUUAUGUUUAAAAGGUAAUUAUAAUUUUAAUUUUAUUUAAUUAACCACAAAUUUAUAAAUUAUGAGACUAAUUUAGAAAAAAAGCAAAUUUACUUUUGAGCUAAUUUCCUUGACUUAAUAUUUGUUAAAAUUAACUUCACCUUAAAAAAAAAAGCCCUCAAUCAGAUUUUCCUUUGUAGCAUUUAGUUCUCAUCUAGUAUUGUGAGAUUAACCAAUUUUCUGCAUUUUAGACUUUAAAAAUACAAAACCUAAUAGUAAUCAAUCAUGAAAUCGUUAUCAAACCUUUAAUGUAUGCUUAGCACCAAGCAAAAAGCAGUGAGAUAGAAAGAAACAUAUGGUCCACAUUCUCUAGUAUCAGAAUCUAGUGAACUAUACAAGAAGGUACGUAAUUGAGCACUAAAUUUUACAGAUCAGACUUAAGAGUUUUGCAUGUAGUUUUAAAAUACUGUGACCCUCACAAUCGCCCCUUGAAAAAUAAUGUGCACUAUGUAUCAUGUCACGGGAGAUAAUGAAAUUGGUCAUUAAUUUCACUAUAUCAGAAAUGUAUGAAAUAAAAGCAGAAUAACACAAAUCAGUAAUAAAUGUGCCUGAAGAUUUUAAGCUUCCAUUAAACACAUUCCAGCAAGCUUCUGUGAGUCUGAAUCUCCUUCGCUGCUCUGCUUACCCUUCUGUCCCUGGGUACUUACUGCUCUGGCUCAUUGUGACCCACUCCAUGAAUCCCCUUGAACUUCUACUCCUCAUUCAUCUGUGUUUGGGAUUCCUUCUCUAAUAACCUUUCACACUCUUUUUAUUUUCCCCAACUUUUUGCUUCAAGUCCUUGUUUGCUGAUGUAAUUAAACAGCUUCAUUAAGAUACAGAAACAUAGAGUGACUGACUUAACUUUCUGCAAAUGGAUGUGUACUAAAUAGAUGAUUUGUCUUAGCUUACUGAAAAUAUCAGCUGAAUUUCUAAUUGCCAUGUCAUUGUCUAUUCUUCCACUCAUGAUUUUGUUUUUGACCUCUGGGUAGAAGAUAAAUGUAUGUAACUGUGUGUUGUACCUAUACAUAUAUGUACCUGCACACACCUGUCCAUGAGCACAUAUAUCCACACACAUGUAUCCACACAUAGAAUUUUAACGUGCACACAUGGAGUGUCAAUAUUCUACAGCAUCCAAUAUUUGAAAGAAAUACAUUUUUAACUUAGUUUUGAAGACAGACAGAUGGAGUUUUCUAUUGUGUGAAGUUCUUGCGUUUGACUUUGAGUGCAUUUUCACAGUGCCUUUAUUCAGCCUUGAAGGGAUAAGACUGUGGGAAAAUCAGACUGCAUUAGUUCCCAGGUAUAGCACUGUUUUAAUUAACUUUUUGUUGCUGUGACCAAAAUAUUGACAAGAACAACUGAGACGAGGGAAAAUGUCUUUGGGGUCCCCAGUUUCAGAGGUCUCUAACCAUAGAUGGCUGAUUGCAUUGCACUGGGCCCAAGGUGAGGCAGCGCAGCACAGGGGAGGGCCUAGUAGGGGAAAGCUGCUCAGAUCAUGGCAGGGUGAGGAAGCAGAGGGGGCUGCAGGAAAGAUGCAAUCUUCUAGGACAUGCCCCUAGUGACCCACCUCCUCCAGCCAUACCUGCUUGCCUACAUUUACCACCCAGUCCAUUCAAACCACGGUGGGCUGAUUAGGUUACAGCUCUCACAACCCAAUCACUUUACCUCUGAACAUUUCUGAAUUAGCAGGAGAUUUGGGGGAACAUUUCACCUCCAAACCAUAACAAGCAUACUCUCUCAGGUUGGCAUGCAUCUUAGUUCUGUCCUCUGUACUUCUGUGUUCUUCCUGUCCCUUUCUGACAGGAGUGUCAUGGGAAUUAGGGUCUUGAGGAUGGGCCCAAGAACUCUUGCUAUUUCCUGGCCCCAGGACUGUUUUACGAUGGAGGACAGCUGAGGAAGAAGAUCCGACAUUGCCUGCCUCUGGGUCUCCUGGCUUCAUAAUGUUCCCCCACUGGGCUUGCAGACAGCAGCCAGGGGGAGCCUGUUAAGACUCCAGUCAGCAUCUGGGAUGCUUCUCCAAUGACUUCCUGUCUUGGGGCAGGGGGUGGGGGUGGGUGGAGGUGGUGGGGGAAGCCAGUGUCCUCAGGGCCUGCACAUCCCAUGCUCACUCUCUGCCUUCCUUUUCUCCUCGCUUGGGAGUUUGCUGCAUCUGUACCCUCACCUUUAAAGCUCUCUCUGAACAUGUGUGUGCCUCCCCCAGGAUUAUUGCAAUGUCACCCUCUCUUUGGGGCCUUCUCUGGCCACCCUAGGAGGCCAGUGUUCCUCCCACUGUGCACCCCACUGUCUUGCAUUAUGUUUCUCUUAGCACUUUUCACUCACAGGCCAUUUUUUGGCUUAGUUGGAUCUUAUAUUUUUUUCAUCUCUCGUCCUGUAACAUAAGCUCUUUGAGGGCAUUGAGUGUAGACUGCUUUCUUUGUUGCAUGGUCCCCAUCCAUGGGACAGCACUUGGCCAUAUUGUAGGUGCCCAAUAAAUAGUUUUGAAAGUCAAAAAGGAUGGAAUCAAGGAACAUGUGAGGGGGAGAUUCCAGAGAAUGGCAUUCCUAGAAGACGGUUGUUGUUAUUCAUGGAAUCACUGUGAAUCACUUUCUAAGAGACCAGACAUGAUUCUUCCAUAUCCAAGGCUGAACACAGGGGAAGGAAAGUAUUAUUAUUAUUUUUUUUCCUGGCUUAAGAGGCAGGGAUUCCAAGGGAAGCUUAUAGAAGGCUUAAUAAAUAUUUACUAUGUUAAUGUUAAUUUUUAAAAGCAACAUGACUAGCAAUUUGUUUCAAAAUCUAUUUAGAGCUAUGAGUCUUAGCGGAAUGUUCUGGCCUUUACCCACUCUCCCCAGAAUCCCCCUUUCCACCAGAUGUUCCAGCCAAGUGGAGCCAUUUUCCAUUUCCUAAGUAUGAAUUUCCUCUCUUACUUGUAGAUCUGACAAGCAGUCCCUCCCUCUUGGCUUCAGAUCCUCCUCCUCUCUCUCUCUCUCUCUCUCUCUCUCUCUCUCCUUCUUUCUCUUUCUCUCCCUUCACUUUCAGAAACAUUUAUUGAGCAACUCUGAUGAGCCAAGGCUUUGUAGAUAGGGUGUCAGUGGGUGGGAGUAUGGAAAAGACAGCUGACUCCAAGGCUCCUAUCCCAUGUCAUAAAGAAAUGCUGGUGGGUUGGUACUGAGCACAUGAGGUUUGGUUAUGUACCACACCAUUGAAAAGGAAUAAAUAUCUUUUAGAAUGCUGUGAACCAUUUAUAGAGAUCAUUUUACACUUUUCAAAACUAGUCACUUAUCUAAGCAAGCCCAAAUCAAAGGAUUCUCAUGUGUCUCAUGAAUGUGGCAAGGAUUGCCAAAUGGUAGUCUGCUCCAAAUUGUGAUUCUAGAAUUGAAUGUGUUUUUUUCUUUUUUUCCUCUUUCUUUGCACAUUACUGUUUUAAAAGGUGAAACAGAUAUCAAAAAGAAUACGUGAUGGUGCUUUCUCUGAAACUGGCUUUAGGGAUGUUAAGAUUUGUCUGAUAGACUCUUCUUAUAUUUCCAUGUCUGCUGCCAUCACAGAGCUGGGUCCUUCUGAGAAACUGAGGCAAUGAAAAGACCCCCUCUUCAAACCCCAAUUCUUGCAAACAAGUCAGAAAUAUUUCAGACAUGUUGCUGAGAGUAACAGGAAUGAGUUUAUUACAGGGAUAGGAAAAGGAAAAGGGGACACUCUCAAGGGAGAGAGUGGGUCCUCUCAGAGAGGAGAGGGACAAUGUGCCUCUUCUGCAUUCUAGUUUUAUUGGGGAUCCCAGAGAAGUUUACAGAGAGUCCCACCCACAACCACCUCUUGACUUUUGACUGACAGCAGAGUGACAUCAGACUUUCAAAUCCCCACAGUCAUGGCAACUUUACGUUGCCUUGACCUAUGCCGACCAGUUCUAAUUGGAUUCUUAACCAUAUGUUCUUACAGAUUUAUAUGAUUAGGAGGAAUUAUCCUUAACUCCAGAUUUUCAGGAUCUAGUCACAAAAAGUCUCCUCCUUCAGGAUAACUUGGGUUCCUCUUAUCAACAUUAUUUGGGGCCUGCAUUUCUCUUGCAGUGUGACAGGUAGGUUGCUGAAGAACGUGUCAUAACCUGUCCACUUAGGCCAGGCAGGGUUGCAGGUAAAUUGCUUCUUGGAAAAGAAAGCAUGUGGGGCUCAGCAGUGUGGGCCCAUUUUAUAGAAUUAUUCCCUUAACCUCCUGUUCUCACCAUCCAUAUCUAUCUGUUCUCUAACACCGCCAGCACAAUCUUGUCAUCUUUCUUACUUUUAUUAUUUUAUGGCCCUGCACGCUGGUGCUUAUUACCAGUCAAGCUAAAUGGCUUCUCUGCUUAGUUAGGCAUAAAACUCUGAGAAAGUGCCAGUGUUUGUGUCUUCACACGUGGCGGGAGAUUGAAGGUUAGAGGGCUCAACUCAGCAUUUUCUCUGGAAUAAAAAUAUUGCAAUUUAUUGGACCUUUUAUUUAUGGGAAUAAAGUAAGUGUUUUAGUAUUUUAGUUGCGGAAGCUCAGUUCUUGUCCCCCGAUGCCAAUCUAAUGAUGAGGAUGUGAUUUUGACAAAAAGGAAAAAGCUUUCUUGCUUUGUUAGCAAAGGAGAAGCAUAGGGGACUCCUGUCCCAGAGGUUGUGAUUCUGCGCCUCAGGGGGAGCAGGGGGCUUUUAAAGAGGUGGUUCAAAGGUUACUUUCCACAUGUUCACUGUUGGAGUUGUAAUUCACUUGUUAAUUUGGAAGAUAGUCAUUUCUGAGAUCUUCUGGUGCCAUCCCCAAAGUCUGGAUUCAGGGAUAGAUAACUUGCCUAGAAUGGGGAAGAAAGAUAAUCUUGUUUUCCCCAAGAUCUAGGGGAGGAGAGAUUAGGGAGGGAGAGGGAAAGAGGAAGAAAAAGAAAUAUAUCCCUUAAUUAUGUAUUUAUUCUAAUUAGUUAUACAUGACAGCAGAAUGCAUUUCAAUUCAUAGUACACAAAUGGACCACAAUGUUUCAUGUCUCUGGUUGUGUCAUCAUACACAUACCUAGGGUAAUGAUGUCAUCUCAUUCCACCAUCUUUUCUACAUGUCCCUUUUAAAAAUAGGUUGCUGUGGCAGAGCAGCAAGGGCUAUAUUCAAGGCAUAAAGUGGACUACCGUUACAAAUUGAGUAUUUAAGUACAGAUGUGCUCAACAAAAAAAGUUGCUCCAUGAUCUCCUAAGUGAACUUUUCAAACUUAUACAGAAUCUUCACUUACAGAAUCUCGUUUUUUUAUAAGUUGCUUUAUUAUUAUUAUUAGUUUUUUUAGUUGCAGAUGGACACAGUUCAUUUAUUUUAUUUAUUUAUGUGGUGCUGAGGAUCUAACCCAGGGCCCCACGCAUGCAGGCAAGGGCUCUACCACUGAGCCAUAACCCCGGCCCCAUAAGUUUACUUUUGAGUGUCAGUUUGAGCCCUGUAAUUCUGAACUUAAAAGGGGGAUUCUUUUGCCAUCAAAAUCUGUUUCCAUACUUCUUGAUAUUUAGGCUUAAGAAAAUAAGAACAAAGUGAUACGACUGUCUCAGUCAUUAACAGGCACAAUAUUUAGCUGUUAUGCUAGUAACAUGAGAUGGGACCCAGUAGGAUGAAGCAAUGACCGUCCCAGUAAAUUUCAGUAAAAUUCGACCUUACUGUGCUGUUACUAGGAAGAAAGUGGAUCAAAACACUGGGAAGAAAAUCAUAGGUACCUCGGCAUACACUCUGCCAAGGGCAUGUGUUAGAGGCUUCUUAAGUCCCGAGGUGUGGCUUAUUUUAUAAAUAUUUUCAUAAGAAUUAUGUACUCGCCAUCUGGCGGUGUGGCUUUGUGUAAUAGUGUCCAUAUGCUUUGCCUUAUGAGCUAGAGUGAGAAGAACUUAGGUACAGGACUGUUGAUUUUGUUUGUGUCCCUUCUUCAGAGAGCAGUUCAAGCUCAGGACAAUGCUUCGUCAUUGACAAGACAGGCCCUGCGGGGAGAAGAUUUAACUUUGUUUUUCCCACUUUUCCUCUUCUUUAGUAGCAGUAAUAGUGUUAAUAUUGAGGAUGAUGAUAACUAUUACAAAGUACUUACCUUUUCCCAUCAGCCACGUACAUGCGUGGAAUCAUUUGAUUCUACCCCUACAACCAAUUAUAUCACUUCUGUUGUUGUCACCGUUUGACAGAUGAGACCACUAAGGCCCAGAAUGAUGAAGUAACUUGCCUGAGAUUGCACAGAUAGGAGGUGGAGUUGCUGGGUCAUAAACCAGGUGGCCUGGCUAUGUGCUGCUAAGUUUCAGGGUCCCUCUUGCUGAGAUCUGUGAUUGUGGGCAUUGCUUCCAAUCCUAGCAUGUUUUUGGGCUCUUGCUGGAUGGGAUUUGUGAUUCAUCAUCUAUUUACUUUUCUUUUUCCAUUUUUCUCCCCUUUUAUUUUCCUCCUCCUUCUUAGGUCAAGUACAAAAGAGAUUUUGAAGAAAGCAAAGGGAGGGGCUUCAGCAUCGUGACAGACACUCCGGAAUUGCAGCGGCUGAAGAGGACGCAGGAACAAAUCAGUAAUGUAGGUGCCUGUGGCUUAGUGACUUGGCAGCACUAGAAUGUGUUUGUGGAGGGCAGCGUGAGUCUGGGUGUCUUGGAGGAGUGUAUGUAGCUGUGGUGUGCGAGGAACAGAGUCCUCAAACAACUGCGCCUGUGAGAUCCCUUCCCUCCGACUUCACUGCCAUCUAGAGCCUAUCAGUUACUGUCAUAUAGUAUCUUACUACACUUUAAAUAGUUCUCAGCUUUUGAAUCUUUCCAAAAUAGGAUUUUUAUAACUAAGUUAAAAAAAGUUUUUUCUUCCUUGUGGCUAAACAUGCAGAAUAUAUAUUAAAGGUUAAGUAUCUUGAAGAAUCUUACGUUUGCUAAUUACAUGUAUGAAUAGCUUAAUACUUUAAAUUAGAUAUGUGUUGAAUCAUGCAUUCUAUCUAAUUUUGGAGAUAAACAUUUGUAUAUAUAGUUACUCUGGACUCGAAAGCUGCAUCUUGUUUGGUACUAUGUUUUCCUUUAAAAAGAAAAUUGGGACUUGCAGAAGUUUAAAACAUAUUAGAGACAGGAAAAUGUUGGUUUAGUACUUAUUAAAGAUGGCUAAAUGAUUCAUUCUUAAUUUUUUGUAACUCAUAUGUGUGAUUGUUUCUUCCAAAGUACUGUAUGAAAUGUACCAAAAUGUAUUUUUUCUACAAAAUUAUUUCAGUGAUAGAUAUCCAAGAGGAAAUAUGAAUGAAAAUCAAUAGCUGCGUGAUAAAAUUAGAAGCAAACAUGCAAAACUCAUACCGCUUUUCAUGAGAAGUGGAUUUUGUGUGUCACAUGUACAGAUUUGAGAAAAAAAUUUUAAUUGUCCAAAGUUCAAAAACAAAAUAUUUGAUUUCUAAAAAAAAUGUAUUUAGGGAGUGGGAGGAGGAACAGCACACAGUUUGUUUUCAAAUCAUAUACCCUAAGGUUUACCCAUUGUUUGGUCUUUAAAUGGGCAUUUUAUAUUAGUAAGGGCUUUUUCCUUUGAAUAGAAAGAGUUGAAUUUUAAAGACUCAUGACAUUUGUCGCUUAGUUUUCCUACUGCAUUCCAACAACCUGCCAAUCAUGAACAGUGAAGACCACUCUUCUCAUUUUCCUUCUCCUUUAUUCUUUCCUUAAAAAUCCACUUUUGCUUUUAAAAAUGCAAAUCAGAGACACAUUCCACAAGCAGUGACAUUCAGUAGCAUUUCUUUCUUUUGAUAAUUUUUGGAAAUUAAAAAAAAUAAAAGCAAUGCUGUAAAAAGCAAAGUUGUAUCGUAAGUCUUCAACUAUCAUAGAAAUUUAUUUCAAAAAGAAUCCAACAUUUCUACUCAAGACAUCUACAUG